rnacentral:lncRNA from 1 species
CGGGCAAGCGGUUGCCAGUUGAUGCGGCAACAGUGCUGCCAGCCGCUGGCCCAGAUCUCAGAGCAGGCUCGGUGCCAGGCUGUCUGCAGCGUGGCCCAGGUCAUCAUGCGACAGCAGCAAGGGCAAAGUUUCGGUCAGCCUCAGCAACAAGUGCAAAGUUUCAGCCAGCCUCAGCACCAGGUUCCGAUUGAGAUAACGAGGAUGGUGCUCCAGACCCUUCCAUCGAUGUGCAACGUGAACAUCCCGCAAUAUUGCACCACCACCCCAUGCAGGACCAUCACUCAGACCCCCUACAACAUCCCUAUGACCGCUACCUGUGUUGGUGGUACCUGCUAAGAUCUGUGCUGCGCUAACUAGAUCGAUCGCCAUUUAGUUUAGAUGAUGGAUGAAGGGUGAAAAAUAAAGUAAAAGUGCCAUAUAUCAUCAUGUGUGGCCAGUACUGAUGCGACAUAGAAAUAAGAAACCUUUGUUUCUCAAUAAAGCUUUUGUCUGAAUAAAAUUGCAUGUUUUGCAUGAUAAGUGAGAUCAUAGAAGUAUCUCACCUUAUUGAAGUACUAUUGCAACUUUAAAUAACAAACAUCUGCUCCUGAAUAAAUCUGUUGUCAAAAUAAAAUUGCAUGUUUUGCGCGAUAGAUGAAAUCUCAGAAGCAUCUGACCGAAGUGGACCAUCAAUCUAUUGUAUGCCUCCCACUAAAUCAAGAUAAAUUCAGAACACGAAAGGACAAAUAAAAGAGCAGCACAAGGCACAUAUGGAGAAUGGAGAGAGAGCAGAUCAAACAACACAUGGCCACAAACAUGUAUGACCAAUAUAAAGAGGUGCCGGAUUUGAAACAAUGUUGACAUAUUCACUAUGUGCUUUCUUGUUCAAUCACAGAAUUAAUGUCAACCAAGCUGGUACAUAAGAAGUCAAUUAAUCCCUGUAGAGCCACUGCAGUAUGAUCACUUCCUGGAGACAAUAUAAUAAAUAUUAUUGUGCAUAAUACAUUUGCAAAGUCAAGAAAACAUGGAAGUUACAAAACCUAGUAGAUAUAACUGAAUAAUAUUUAAAGUCAUAAGAUAUAUUUUCAUAAUUUCACACCUAAUUAUACCUUUUUUUAUGCCACAUGAUUGUCUUUUUAUUUCAUAUAUACGAAUGAAUAUUGGCACACCCACAUAUUUUAUUUUACUGUGUUACACCAUUAAGAAAACCUUCUACUCUAGGAGUGGUUUAUUUUCCGUGAAACAAAUGAAAUCUAUGACACAUCUCACUGAAUUGAAGAAUCAUCAUACUCUACAUGGCUCCCAAUUAAACCAAAAAUUCACAACAUGAAGAGAGGGACGGUACAUACGUAAGAAGAGAUCCUGGAUCAAGGAACAUACACACAUGAACAAGCUUCAUAAAAAUAUUAAUGGAUUUGAUAACAUUGUUGACACACGUAAAGUUAUUAUCCAACACACACGAUAAAACUCAAUGCUACAUCAGAAGCUGAUUAAUUGCCGACAUGUCAUAGCCAUGAGCAUUGUGCAGCACAAUCACGGGCGGGACACAACAUAUAUUAAUAUUCUUGUGCUAGCCACAUUUUGGUGCCAAGUCAAGAAACCGUGGAGGUACCAAAAACUGAACACGCAUACUGUUGGAUACAAGAUAGAAGAAUGAAGGAUAUGUAUACUGGAAUAUAACUCUAUUGAGAAGCAACACUUGAUACAACGAAAUUUCAUAGGAAUGAUUUUUCUAGCGAACUACUCCCUCUGUAUCUAAAUAUAAGUCUUUUUUACAGAUUUCAAUAUGGACUAUAUACGGAAAAAAAAUGAGUUAAUCUAUACUCUAAAGUAUGGAAGCGAAUUAGGAGCACUCGGGUGCUCCACCCCCUAUAUUCAAAAAUAAUUUAAUAAUUCAAAAAAGUCAAAAAAAUACUGGAUAUAUUUUUGAAACAAAUAUGACUAGGUAUUGUAUUCAUAUAAAAAGUUUGGCCAAGGAAUGACUCUCGUUGAUUUCAGGGCAAAAAAAACAAAAUUUAUGAUGACAAUAUAGCAUGAAUAGUACUUGUAUAUAGCAUUUUUUUUUUAAAUCUUUGACCCCGGAUAUAAUAAAAGACAUUCCGUGUUUAAUCUUUGUAUACGAGUGCAAUACUUGGUCAUGUUUGAUUCCAUAAAAAGUUCCAGGAUUUUUUGAUUUUUUUGAAUUACUAAAUUAUUUUUAAAUAUAGGGGGGCGUAGCACCCCAGAGCUCCUAUGCAUUUUCGCUGAAGUAUGUCUAUAUACAUCCUUAUGUAGUAGUUCUUAUUGAUAUCUCUAAAAUACACUUAUAUUUAGGAAUGGAGGGAGUACAUGGUCACCUAUAUCACGAUAUAAUUCUAUAGUAAAGGGUUAAGCACCUUGUUCGCAAGAUUAUUAUCGGGGCGGAGUCAAAGGGUUCCAUUCUGGUUUAGCUUACUCCCUCCGUCCGCGAAUAAGUGUACUUCUAACUUUUGUCCUAAGUCAAAGUUUUAAAACUUUGACCAACUAUAUACAAAAAAGUAGUAACAUAUAUGAUAUCAAAUUGAUAUAUUAUGAAAAUACAUUUCAAAACAGAUCUAGUGAUACUAAUUUAGUGUCAUAAAUGCUGCUACUUUUUUCCAUAAAGUUGGUCAAAGUUUUAAAACUUUGACUUAAGACAAAAGCUAGAAGUACACUUAUUCGCGAACAGAAGGAUAUGUGUACUGGAAUAUAACUCUAUUGAGAAGCAACACUUGAUAAAACGUGUUGAUAAUGUAAGAGAGGUCGGGAUAGACCAAACUUGAGAUGUGAGAAGUCUGAAGGACUGAAGUAUCAACAAAGAACUAGCCAUGGAAAGGGGUGCAUUAAAGUUAACUAUCCAUGUGCCAGAACCAUGAGUUGGUUGCGAGAUCUUCAGCUCAAGCUACCUCAACUUAUUUGUUGUUGUUGUUGUUGAAAAGAUGCAGUAUACUCCCUCCAUUCCAAAAUAGAUGACCCAACUUUAGUUUCAAAAUAGAUGACCCAACGGAGGGAGUACAUCUAUAGGUCCAUGUGUAUUGUUUUCAGAUUUUUUGGAACUUCAAAAUAUGACUUUCCGAAUUUUGAAAAAAGAGCUUCAUGGAGCUCGAGCUAAAAAAAUCCAUUGUCCUCAUGAUACAUGCAUAAAACACAUACCUUUUACAAAAAAAAUAACAAGUUUAGGUUCACUGGCCAAAGCUACAAAAAUGCUACAUUAGACUUCCCACAUGUAAAACUAAUUUGAUGACUCAUGGCAUUUUAUCUCCUGCCAGCUUAUACAAGACUUUAAAACCAGUUCCAGGAAGCAAUUAAACUCGGCAUACAAAAAAAAAAAACUCAGUUUCACAUGCCGAAGCAUAGCCCCAUGACAAUCCUUGACAUGUAAAGGAAAAUUUAUGAGUCAUCAAUGCUCUGCUGAUGCCGUCUGUAUUACCAUUUACCAAUUAGUAGAACGAUACAAAAACCAGUUUUCAGAAAACAGCAAGAUGGAAUGCUGGACAUGCCAAUCUGAUUUAUAUCUAACAACUCGUACAAGACAACAAAACUGAUUUCGCAAAAAGACACAAUCGAGAUAUACGCUUGACAUGUAAAGUGGUCAGUGAUGAGUCAUAUGGAUUAUCGGGGUCAGGCGCAAGCUGACUGAUAUCUACACGAUAUGUGUUGAAAAGUAUAUUUGACGACCAUCCAAAAACGGACUCUUAGCACCACCUAACACAAGAUGACAGAUGAUUAGAUUGAAAAGUACGCAAAAGCUUUAUCAAAGCAACCAAGGAAUGCAAUGCACAACAUGAUGCCAUGGCAGCUAUAAAUAGGCCUGCACCAUGAAGACCCUCCCUCAUCACCCUUCACACAAACAUAAACACCAAAGCAAACUUAUAGCCAGCCACCAUGAAGAACCUGUUCAUCCUCGCUCUCCUCGCCUUCACGGCGACAAGCGCUGUUGCGCAGCUGUACACUACCUGUAGCCAGGGCUACGGGCAAUGCCAGCAGCAGCCGCAGCCGCAGCCGCAACCGCAGCCACAGCCGCAGAUGAACACAUGCGCUGCUUUCCUGCAGCAGUGCAGCCAGACAGCAUAUGUCCAGUCACAGAUGUGGCAGGCAAGCGGUUGCCAGUUGAUGCGGCAACAGUGCUGCCAGCCGCUGGCCCAGAUCUCGGAGCAGGCUCGGUGCCAGGCGGUCUGUAGCGUGGCACAGAUCAUCAUGCGGCAGCAGCAAGGGCAACGUUUCGGCCAGCCUCAGCAGCAGCAAGGGCAAAGUUUCGGGCAGCCUCAGCAGCAGGUUCCGGUUGAGAUAAUGGGGAUGGUGCUUCAGACCCUUCCGUCGAUGUGCAGCGUAAACAUCCCACAAUAUUGCACCACCACCCCGUGCAGCACCAUCGCCCCCGCCAUCUACAGCAUCCCCAUGACAGCUACCUGUGCUGGUGGUGCCUGCUAAGAUCUGUGAUGUGCUAGCUAGAUCGAUCACCGUUUAGUUGAUCGAUGAAGAGUUAUAAAAUAAAAGUGCCAUACAUCAUCAUGUGUGGCCAGUACCUCUGUUUCUGAAUAAAGCUUUUGUCCGAAUAAAAUCGCAUGUUUUACAUGAUAAAUGAAAUGUCAGAAGCUUUUCACCUUACUGAACCUUCUUACGUGGUGGAGUUACGGUCAGCCUCAGCAGCAGGUUCAGUUUGAGAUAAUGAGCAUGGUGCUUCACACCCUCCCGUCGAAGCACAGUUCAUACAUCCCGGCUUAUUGCACCACCACCCCCCUACAGCAUGCCUGUGGCUAUUAUUACCUGUGCUGGUGGUGGCUGCUAAGAUCUGUGCUGUGCUAGCUGGAUCGAUCAGUGUUCAGUUGAUCGAUGAAGCGGUGACAAAAUAAUGUGGCCAGUACGGAAAUAACAAACAUCUGCUCCUGAAUAAAGGUGUUAGCUGAAUAAAAUUGCAUGUUCUGUACGGUAGAAGAAAUCUCAGAAGCAUCUUACUGGAAUGAACCAAAACUCUAUAUUGUAUGGCUCCCAUUAUAUCAAAAGAAAUUCAAAACAUGAAAGGAGAAAUAAUAGAGGCACAAGGAACAUAUGGAAAGAGACCAGAUCAAAAAGCACACAGCCACAAACAUGUAUGAGCAACAUAAAGAGUUACCGGAUUCGAAACAGCGUUGACAUAUUAAGAAUGUGCUUUCUUGUCCAGUCACAGAAUUAAUGCCAACCAAGCUGCUACAUAAGAAUUCAAUUAAUCCCCAUAGACCCAGUGCAGGAUGAUCACUUCCUGGAGACAAUAUAGAUCAACAUUCUUGUACACAAUACAUUUGCCAAGUCAAGAAACCAUGGGAGUUACAGAACCUAGUGGCUAACUGAAUAAUACAAAAGCAGGAAUCGACAGGACUGGCAUUGUGAAAGACUAAGAAAAGCCUUGCAACUGCAACAAGCAACGAUGACCAAUCACUGGUCAACCCCGUAAACCAAACUGGGAAGCACCCAGAGGCUAUUUAGUGGACUGCAAUGGGCAGUGGCUGCGGAACUGAAUGACAUACGGUGAGUCGAGCUGGGCACCGGCUGUCCAACCUCUAUUGCAGUCCAUGGCUCAUCAAAAUCUUCUGAUUUUGUUGGAACAUAAAUAUAGUUACUCUUUCCUCCCCAUCUUUCAGGGUUCAUGCAAGAAAAUGUAGGGUUUCUCCUAUCAUUGGUGAGGAAGAGAGCCCAAUUGUCCAACUUAUCCAUCUUCACCCACUUAGCUGGUUCAACUGAGAAGUCGAGGCGGAAGACUUGAAAGGUGCCAGGAAAGCCAAACAGUUGGUCCAUGCUUACCGAGAGAUCUACCAAGAGAAGCAUGUCACCACAGACCACCAACCAUGGCUUAGAAUGAAGGCCUACGAGCAUGCUCUGUUCCCACAUAACUGCUACUUCCUGCAUGCUGAGCUCAGGUGAUAUGUGUAUGGUAUGUAGCCUUUGAACAAAGUCCAUGGCAAACAUCUGGCCUUUGAAGAGCACAAUCUGAUGGAUGAGUUCACCAACCUGAGGGUGCUCUGUCCAAGAAUUUGUUCCAACCUGCCACUGGAGCAUGGAGAUUCUCGAGAAAAGGAUGAGACGUGAAUUGGGCGAAUCUAGUGGAGCCGUAAGGAUGCCAAGGUAGAUCAAAGUGUUGCUCUCAGAUUGGAAUUUUGGUGGCUUCACCUUUGUGCCAGUGUACACAUCGACGAGAUGGCAGUGUCUCCUAUCAGAGAAGAUAAGAUAACCAUAUGAGCAGCCCAGAUAGCGCAUGGGAUGUGGAGUAAUUCCAGGCGCUGAACAACGAUGGGAUAAACUUUUCUUAGCAGGAUCAACAAGCUGCGAUUUCCGAUCUGAGUUGUAACUCUCCUGGCUUACAUCUGGUUUGAGGUGGAGAGGUGGGAAGCUGAAGGUAUAUACAGAUGGGAAGGAAGAGGCUGCGGCGUGCCAUGAGUGACAGGUGCCACGGAAAGCAAGGAAGUCAUGAAAUGAGCUAAUGAGCGAAAUGAUUUGGUGGAGCAGGCUGUCUAGAAGGCUUUCCCAGGCAUGAGAUCCCGAUGAGGAUGAGGAAAUAGAUCCAGAGGCAUCACAGAUUUUCUUAGAGGGCCUUGCUGCAACAGCAACUUCCCUGUCAUGGAGAAAAUUCAAGGGUCAGAAGAAAGAACUCAAAUAUAACAGAGAUAUAGCUAGUAAUUUAUUAGAAAUGUGGUAUAUAUGUGACAGAGGAGGUUGAAUUGGAUUUCCGGUAUAUAUGCUCUUACUAUACACACUAAGGCAAAAAAGCACGACUGUUUAACUGAACAAAGUUUAUUCCCAUUGUGAGAUGUAUAUAUCAAUAAUUCAAUAUGAACACCAAUGGUUCCUUCGUUGAGGCUACGGGGCAGGGACGUGCUGGUGCUUUAGCAAGGGACCACAAUGGCGUGGUCUUGCUUUCUACCUGGAGAAAGAGAAGCCUGUGUUCUGAGGCAGAGGAGGUUGAAGCUGUUCGAUGUGGUGAUUGGUUUGUCUCCGUCAGUUAUCUGAAAUUUACAGGGCGGCUGGUUGUGGGUGAAACGGACUGCACGGCCUUGUGGGGUGUACUGUCAGAAAAUUCAGAGAACAGAUCCUGCCGGGACUUCUACUACAGCAAGACAGAGAGACUGACAGAGUGCAGGCUGCGCAUAUAGGAUUGCAAGAGAGAGCAAUGGAGCAGCCCACCCGCCUGCAAAUUAUCGUAGAACAAACUAUCGCCAAGGAACAGACAAGUAAAUUAAGUUUCCCAUUCGAUUGUAACAACGCAUAUCAAUAUGCUAAACUUUAACCAGAACAGGGUACGUCAGGAUCACCUACAGCAUGAUAUUCUGUACAACAGAGUAUUGUCCUUAAUGUGCAACCACCCUAUGGUAUAUAAUUGUUGUGUUCAACCACUCUACGGUGUAAUUUCUUGGACGAGUUGCGAACAAUUUUACUGUUCAGAGCUCCCAGUUCCCCUAUGUACAGUACAGUACAGAUCGAGUCCAAUAGCAAUUUCACGCAGGAUGUCAGGAGUCAGGACAGGCGGCAACGGGGAAGACUAGGCUAGAUCUGUUCAAUAAGCUUCGGAUUGAGAAACCUAAGAGACAAGCAAGGUUAGGGUAAGGGCGCGCGAGGCGAGCACCUGGAGCUGAGGCUGGCUGGUGCCGGCGGCGGCGAGGGUUCGGCGGCCUGCUGCGGUCGCGCUCUCCGGCGCCGGCGGUGGCGCCGGUUCCCUGUCAUGCGCGCACGUACGGUGGCGUCCCCUCAACCGGCGGCUCCGGAUCGGCGCCGCCUACUGGUCGUCGGCGAGCGGCGGUGGUCGUCUCUCACUUUUUCGGGCGGUGGAGAGGCGUCCGAGAGGAGGCGGACUUUUUGCAGUUCGGGCCAGCGUCUCGGCCUUUAGCGCUAGCACGGGCCAGCCCAAGCACGGUACUGGGCUGAGAUAUAGUAGGGCCAUGUUCAGCCCAAAGCGAGCACGGAGCAUCCAAACGGGCCGCCCACAGCGAGCAUGUUACAGAAUGCUUUUCUGAAACCAAACAGCACCGUGAGGCAUGGCUUAACGGGGCACCAGGAACGUCAUCGUCGCAGUCAGAGGAAGGGAUGUGGAAAAAACUGUGGAAAACGGAGUACCAGGCAAAGUCCGGAUGUUUCUAUGGAGAUUGUCAAAACACUCCCUUCCCACUGAGGAUGUGUGAGCUCACCGCCAUAUGACGACGUCUAGCAGCUGCGGGCUAUGUGGGAUGCCGGAUUCGUGGAAACAUUCGCUGAUUCAAUGCACAAUGUCCAGAUGUGUAUGGGCCUUGGUGGAUGAGGAACUUGCACAUGAAAUGAUGGCGCUGACAGAGCCUAAAGCGAAGCAAUGGCUGUUCGCACUUAUUGAGUCCCUCACACAUGAUGAGUCUGUCCUCCUGUAGAUUACUCUGUGGUCAAUCUGGCAUGCGAGGCGCAAGGCGAUCCACGAGGGGAUUUUUCAGAGUCCUCAGGCAACACAAAUUUUCAUCAACAGAUACCGUGACGAGCUUAAUAUGAUCCGUCCGACAGUAAGAUGAACGAGUGCACCAAAUGCUCCAGUGGGACCGCAGAGACCCAAGGCACCUCCGACGGGUUUUGCAAAAAUUCACGUUGACGCAGCAGUACGACCAGGGAGAGGUGGGUCAGCGGCAGCGGUUUGUCGUGAUUCAAAAGGAAAUUAUUUAGGAAGUUUAGCCCUGGUGGUGGAAGGAGUGGAUGAUCCGGCUUCUCUGGAAGUUAUGGCAUGCAGGGAGGCAAUGUGUUUGGCAGAGGAUCUCCUUAUCAACAACUACAUUGUUGCCUCUGAUUGCAAGCAAGUUGUCUCCGACAUAAACUCGGGUAGUAGAGGGCAAUAUGGUGUCAUUCUGUCCGAGAUCAAUCUUCGAGCUAUCCUUUUUCAAUGUAUUUUUUCUUUUGAGUGUCGUGUUGUAAAUUAUGAAGCACAUAGUCUAGCCAGAUUCUCUCUUAGAAGGGGACCGGGGCGUCAUAUGUGGCUUGGCCAAUCCCAUGACCUAUCUUGUAUCCCACUCUCUGUGGACUUCGAUUAAUAAAGCUGGCUUUAUCCUAAAAAAAAGCUCCCUUGUUUUCGUUGAUUUUUUUUCAAAUUUUGCUUAUAUUUCAAAUAAUUAAAAAUAUAAAUACCUUCAAAUUAAUCUACAUAUUUUUUAUAAAAAACUUACGUACCAAUAAAAUUAUUUAUGUAAUGUAAAAACUUGUUUUUGUAUUAUUUUAAAAAUAUGCAUAUCAUUCAAAAAAAAUUCAUGACAUAACAAGUGUUCAAGUGUUUCAAAAAUAUGUUUAUGACAUUUUAAAAAACUGACUUAGUUUUGGAAAAAAAAAUUGUACCAUUCAAAACAUAUUUUCCUCGCAUUUUAGAAAAUGUUGGUAACACUCCAAAAUUCCUAAGCACACCUCUAAGUGAGAUGAGAUAGCAUAGCCGUAUAGGUAUGGCUAAGCACACCUCUAGGUAUGUAUUUCUAAUAUUAAUCCAUAGGGCACACCCCAAUGUCACCUCAGGCAACCCCAAAAAUUAUACUAAACAAUCACCUUAUAAUCUUUAUCUUUUCAAUCAUAAUUCGUAGAGUCACCCCAAUGUGAGUACCGAUAUGUUCUAAAAUUAUACUAGAUAUGCAUCACAUAAUCUCAUUGAUUUGCAAAAGAUUAAAGCCUACUUAAAGGAACUCAUAGCAGGAGCAAAAUCCAAUUCAUUACACCGAUAAUAUAAGGGAUACAUCACAUAGUUCGACUCCAUUAACAAGCCCAUGGUAACAAUCAAGAUUGGAAAAUGAUCACAAGAGUGAGGUAAAACAUAUUGUUAUUGGUACAAACGCUCAACCACGAGAGUGGGCUAAAAUUGCAUCACCAUAGGAGUAGCACGGUGAUGGAGAGGUUGAAGAGGAUCAAUUCGACCCUCAGACAGGGUGCCAGACAAUGGCCGAAGAAGAUCGCUUCGGAUAGAGAAGUGUCGACAACAGAAAAAUCUUUCAAGCAUUUUUUAGUAUAUGUAGAGCAAGGGGGGCGAGAGGCGGCAGGGAGGAGGUCAAGGGGCUCUGCGCGUCCCAGCGCUAGGUUGCGUCGUGGGUCCAUGCGAUGGCCUGGUGCCCCCUCCAGGUGAGCUUCUAGCCCAAGGUCUCUUUUGGCUUGAAAGUUCACAAAAGAUUUUUAUUUCAAUUUUUUUGUCCUAAAAAAAUAUUACUUAUGCAAAUUCAAAAUAUAUGCAGUACUGACACUGGGCACUUAAUAGGUUAGUCGAAUAAAAUAAUAAAAAUGAUUCCAAAAUUAUGCAAAUGAUACAAAAAUAGCAUAAGAAAUCAAUUAUAGAUACGCUUGAGAUGUAUCAACCCCUGCAGGGUUAAAACUUUUCCAAUAGCCAUGCCCGCAGUCAUGUGACUACUUGCUGAUCUAUGCUUGAUCAUAUACAUCAUUAAUGGUUACCUUAAAAACUAUCAAGAUAAGCCUGAGUAUCUUUAAUUGCUUCUGCGUGGGUGAGUCGAGGAAUUAUGCAUGUUUAAAAAGCAUGUGUUCGUCACACCCAUGCAUGAGUGUUGUAACAAGAGAAAUCACAUAGCACGAGACGUGCCCUUACUAAAAGUUUUUUUGUCCAUGUGUUCGUCGAAUUUUAUGUGAACGGUCCUUUGCGAAUUCAACAAAGCAAGUUAGGACCUCGUCUCAACAUGACGUUUUCUCUUUUACCCCGACAUGAAGGUUGCACGUUUCACUACAUCGGGUAUCUCUUCUUGAGCAUCAAAAUGACUGAAUGCAUCUAAAAACUAAUCUUAUAUAUACCCAUGUAUAAAUUGUGACCAUUUCAACGUUAAGAUCUUGAUGCUAGGCCCACCCAACCCAGUGAAUAACAGAAUUUGCUUUUGACUAAAAGAAGGGCUUGGCGGCUUGAGUAUGGUUGGGCUUAGCAGCAGAUAUCAACCUUGGAGGAUUACAAACUCAUAGCUCACCUUGUACAAGAUCAGUUUCACAACAUUGGAGCAUAGCUCCAUGGCAAUCCUUGACAUGUAAAGAGCAUCCUAUGAGUCAUGCCGUGCUCUAGUAAUGCAUGUUUAUCUUACCAACUCAUAUAACAUUACAAAAUCAGUUCCAGGGAACAAUUAAUCAAGGAAAGAACGGAGUGUGUGAAUGGAAAAGCUAAUUCAUACCUAACUCACGUACAAGAUUACAUAAUGGGUUUUGCAAAAAGAUAUGCGACCCAAACUAUGCUUGACAUGUAAAGUGAUGAUUGAUGAGUCAUAUGCAGGUGAUAUGUGCCGAAAAGUACAUUUGAUGAUCAUCCAAGAUUAGACUUGUAGUGCCACCUAACACAAUAAUACGAGAUGAUCAUUUUAAAAAGCAUGGAGUGUGUGAAUGGAAAAGCUAAUUUAUACCUAACUCAUGUACAAGAGUACAGAAUGGGUUUUGCAAAAAGAUAUGUGACCCAAACUAUGCUUGACAUGUAAAUUGAUGAUUGAUGAGUCAUAUCCAGGUGAUAUGUGCCAAAAAGUAUAUUUGAUGAUCAUCCAAGAUUAGACUUGUAGUGCCACCUAACACAACAAUACAAGAUGACCAGUUUAAAAAGCAUCCAUUUGCUUUUGUAAAGUAAUAUAGGAAUGGAAUGCAGCAAACUAGAACAUGCCAACUAUAAGUAUGCAUGUACCAUGAAGACCACAAUCAACCUUUAGACAACCACAAUCAUCCAAGCAACUUGAGGCUAGCCACCAUGAAGACAAUGUUCAUCCUCGCUCUCCUCGCCCUUGCAGCAUCCACCGCCACUGCCCAAUUGGAAACCAUCUGUAGCCAGGGCUUCGGACAAUGCCAACACCACCAACAAGUGGGGCAACAACAGUUGCUGGAUCAGAUGAAGCCAUGUGUGGCUUUCGUACAACAUCAAUGUAGCCCAGUGGGAACACCAUUCUCCCAAACACGGGGAGAGCAACAUAGCAGUUGCCAAACCGUGCAACACCAAUGCUGUCGGCAGCUGGUGCAGAUCCCAGAACAGGCCCGGUGCAAGGCCAUCCAGAGCGUGGAAGAGGCUAUCAGUCAACAACAGCCCCAACAAGAAUGGAAUGAGCCCCAACAGGAAGCACAACUUAAGAGCAUGAGGAUGUUGCUUCAGACCCUGCCGUUUAUGUGCAACAUCUACGUCCCGGUACAAUGCCAGCAACAGCAUCAACUUGGGCGACAACAACAACAACAGUUGCAGGAGCAGUUAAAACCGUGUGCGGCAUUCCUACAACAUCAAUGUAGGCCAAUGACAGUGCCAUUCCCGCAUACACCGGUGCAUAAGCCCACCAGCUGCCAGAGCGUGCAGGCCCAAUGCUGCCGGCAGCUAGCACAGAUCCCAGAGAAAUUCCGCUGCCAAGCCAUCCGUAAUGUGGUAGAGUCUAUCAGGCAACAACAACAUCACCAACCACAACAAGAAGUACAACUUGAGGGCCUGAGGAUGUCACUUCACACCCUACCGUCGAUGUGCAAAAUCUACAUCCCUGUACAAUGCCCAGCCACCACCACCACCCCCUAUAGCAUUACCAUGACAGCUAGCUAUACCGAUGGUACCUGCUAGUUGAUCAAUAUAGCAGUGGCAAAAUAAAAAUGGCAUGCAUCAUCAUGUGUGCCUAGUACUAAUUGCAACAUGAAAAUAAUGAACAGAUGUUCCUGAAUGAAGCACUUGUCUAAAUAAAGCUACAUGUUUGCAUGAUAUAUUAAGUCUAUGAUUUUUCUGACUGAACUUAACCAUCACCAUACUCUGUAUAUCUCCCAUUACCAAUAGUUCAUAGCCAGAAGAAAAAGAUAAUACACUUUGUUUUAGAACGAAGGCUCAAGAAGGACCUGACUUUGAAUUAACAAAGUCAUCAACUGGUCUGAAAUUACAACGACCAUCAUCCAGCAACAAAAAACAAAAAGAAAUGAAAGAAUUCCUUAUUUAACAUUGUUUUAAAUAUGGUUUUCCUAUUUGACACUGGAAAAAUAUUUUUUCCCUAUCUAACAGCAACUUUAAAUUUUGUUCCCAAUAUAACACUUGCGUCUAUUUUUGACCUAAUGGUGUUGAAUGACACAUGAAAUGACAAGUUUACCCCUGGCACUAGAAGCACCUAAGUCAGAUCAAGUUCACUGUCAUUGGCUUCACCCGGCCCACAAUCCCUCGUACUCGGGAGCACCGAGUGGCACAGGAGGCGGGUGGUCGCGUCGCUCCGGAGUAACAACCGAUGUAGGCCUUCCUUGCCGGCACGCCGCACGAGCAUAUGUUGCGCUGGACUGCGCUGUGCAGGGUUGUCUGCAUGACAGAUCACAAGGAGACGGCGAGCUAUGACCUCAGUCUGUGCAAACUGAUCAAUGGUUCCGGCUGGAGAAACUGGUCAAGGCGGGGGCGUUGGGCAAGCCCGUGUGGUGGAGUGUUGUUUAGAAUGCUAGAUCGAUUCCUUCAAAUACAGUGCACGUACUGCAAAGCUAGCUCACAAUCACACAAGCAGCUCGAUUGAUUUUCCCCUAGAAACAAGCUAGCUCACAAACACACAAACAGCUCGAUUGAUUUUCCUCUAGAAGCAAAACGAGCACGUGCUCGUCUCUAGCCGUAUGUACAUACGUACUUGAACCUUGCUUGCGGUACUUGUUCGUAGUACCUUUUGGCUUAUUUUGUUACACAAACCAUGAAUCCCACCCUUAAAUAAGACACCCCGAAAUAAAGAAAAGGAGCGUAUAGAUGUUUGAGGGCAUAAUUGUCAUUUCACAUGCGAUUUAGCAAACUUUGCCCAAAAAAUGGACGAGAUUGUUAUAUUGAGAACAAAAUUUAAAGUUUGUGUUAAAUAAGGAAGAAAUAUUUUUCCAGUGUCAAAUAGGGAACGACGCAUACAUAGUAUUGCCCAAGCAGCUUACAAGCAGCAAAGGUAGCAAGUACUCUAUAGAUAAGAAAACUAAGCACUAGCUUGAUGUCCAUGGAGUCCUCAAAACGCAAGGGGAGUAGAGCAAACAGAGUGAAACUUCAAUUGGAGACAUAACCCAACGGCGGAGCAACACAACCUCAUCUACUUCGAGAAGUGAAAACCAAAUCGUGCCAGUCCUCACCAAUCCUGCCCCUCACCCUGGAGAAAGGCACUGGACCGCCAGUACGUAAACUUACCGCUGCGCUAAGAACACCAUACAAAGAGCCACGACGGUGCUCACAGAUCCAAUCACGAAGAAAAAAGUGGCUCAAGGUUGAGGAACCUGAACAAACAUUCUAGGCAGGAGAUGAGUCAAUAUAACAAGAACCAGACCAUGCCCGCCUACAUCAGGACCAUGCUACUGCAACGUUAUGCUGCUAGCGAUAAAGGGGAAUCCUAUUGCCCCGUCCCCCAAGAAGCUGGCACUGACCGACCCAUGAGCAAGCACACACAUACCGUGCUUCAAACACCUAAGGAAAUCAGAAAAGCACUGGUCUUGUGAGACGAAACAUCAAACAUCACCUCCUUCCUCGAAGACUCUACACACCCAAACCAACUCGCAAAGCACCUGCACAUACCAUGCUGUCGCCUGGUCUUGGACAGACAAAAGUGGCACCUACAAGGUGAAGCAUGCCGCGCCGCUGCCACCCGGUCAUGGAUAGAUAAACAUUUUCACCCAACAUAUGGGUAAGAGGGAAUGGGAUCAUACCAAGAUGAUGAUUCCGAGAAGGGGAACGACACCAGGUGAUGUCGUUGUUGUCUGACCGGAGAACGACAUACGGCGCCGCCACACCAUUCAAGGCCACUGGCUCGGCGUCCACUGCCCUCAGUGUGGAGGCGGAGCAGCCACAUCCCGCCCGCUGCUAUCCUCGGCGACCAUGUGGGCUUCGCUGGAGGCCUCCUCAGGCGGCAAUGAUGAAGGAAGGGAAGGGGACGGAUGGUCGGCGGCUAGAGUUUCAUCUCAACCCGUGUUGCCCGGAGUGGAGUGACAUGGGCUAUGCCUUCAAAUACUCCCUCCGAGUCCGAAAAUACUUGUUGGAGAAAUGAAUGCAUCUAGACGUAUUUUAGUUCUAGAUACAUCAAUUUUUAUGCAUUUCUCUGACAAGUAUUUCCGGACGAAGGGAGUAUAAAUUAAGCUCUAACGCCGUCAAGAUGGUACACAUGAGGAACAUAAACAUAUGAACGAGCUAUAGAAAUGAAAAGUAAACAGUUUUGAUACCAGUGUUGGCUUAACAAGAAUUCUUUCUUAGUACACAUGAUAAGCCUCAAAAACAUGAAACUUUAGAAGCAUCUUAAUAUACUAAACCAUCACUUUAUUGAGAAAUAAAGAUAGAGCUGCAACUGUUCUCAAAUUUGGUAUACUUCCUGUAGUCCAUCGUGCAACCAUGAAUUGCUGCGAGAAGAGUUUGAAUUGCGUCACUACUUUGAUAGGGCUAGAUUAGAUUUCCACUUGAUUUUUCUAGAAGAAAUUUUGACAUACUACUAUGGGCCCUAGACUGGAUGGGAAAUUGGGAAUCAUAAGUGGAUUGAUUGAUCUCCUCGGACCGCGAAUGGAAAAGGGGAUUAAGACUACCUCUAUCAGAAAUAGAUAGAACCACAUCUAUUCUCUUUGGUCUAUAUAUUUACACUAAGAAAAAAGGGUAAAAUUCAGUAUCAUGUUCUAAAGUUAUAGAUGGAUGUGCUCUCCAUUGGCAUUUUCUUCAGCAUCGACACGGAGCUCCGGGAGAUAGUGCUGGAGAGGAUGCAUUGUGUUCUGCAUUGGUGUCCACUAGAAGAUGGUCGAUCUGAAGAAAAUAUGCCCUAGAGGCAAUAAUAAAGUUAUUAUUUAUUUCCUUAUUUCAUGAUAAAUGUUUAUUAUUCAUGCUAGAAUUGUAUUAACCGGAAACUUAGGACAUGUGUAAAUACAUAGACAAACAUAAUGUCACUAGUAUGCCUCUACUUGACUAGCUCGUUGAAUCAAAGAUGGUUAAGUUUCCUAGCCAUAGACAUGAGUUGUCAUUUGAUUAACGGGAUCAUAUCAUUGGAGAAUGAUGUGAUUGACUUGACCCAUUCCGUUAGCUUAGCACUUGAUCGUUUAGUAUGUUGCUAUUGCUUUCUUCAUGACUUAUACAUGUUCCUAUGACUAUGAGAUUAUGCAACUCCCGUUUACCGGAGGAACACUUUGUGUGCUACCAAACAUCACAACGUAACUGGGUGAUUAUAAAGGUGCUCUACAGGUGUCUCCGAAGGUACUUGUUGAGUUGGCAUAUUUCGAGAUUAGGAUUUGUCACUCCGAUUGUCGGAGAGGUAUCUCUGGGCCCUCUCGGUAAUGCACAUCACUAUAAGCCUUGCAAGCAAUGUGACUAAUGAGUUAGUUACGAGAUGAUGCAUUGCAUAACGAGUAAAGAGACUUGCCGGUAACGAGAUUGAACUAGGUAUUGAGAUACCGACGAUCGAAUCUCGGGCAAGUAACAUACCGAUGACAAAGGGAACAACGUAUGUUGUUAUGUGGUUUGACCGAUAAAGAUCUUCGUAGAAUAUGUGGGAGCCAAUAUGAGCAUCCAGGUUCCGCUAUUGGUUAUUGACCGGAAACGUGUUUCAGUCAUGUCUACAUUGUUUUCGAACCUGUAGGGUCCGCACGCUUAAAUUUAGAUGACAGUUAUAUUAUGAGUUUAUGUUUUGAUGUACCGAAGGUAGUUCGGAGUCCCGGAUGUGAUCAUAGACAUAACGAGCAGUCUCGAAAUGGUCGAGACAUGAAGAUUGAUAUAUCGGAUGACUAUAUUCGGACACCGGAAUAGUUUCGGGGGUUAUCGGAUAUAUACCGGAGUACCGGGGGAUUACCGGACCCCCCCGGGGGGUGGUGGUUAAUGGGCCACAUGGGCCCAAAGUGGAGAAGAGGAGGGGCGGAUAGGGUAGGCCACGCGCCCCCUCCCCCUCUAGUCCGAAUUGGACAAGGAGGGGGGCCCUUUCCUUCCUCCCCUCUCUCCCUUCCUCCCCCCUCUCCUACUUGGACAAGGAAAGGAGGGAGUCCUACUCCCGGUGGGAGUAGGACUCCCCUUGGCGCGCCCCCUCCUGGCCGGCUGCCCCCUCCCCCUUGCUCCUUUAUAUACGGGGGCAGAGGGGCACCUCUAGAUACAACAAUUGAUCAUUGAUCUCUUAGCCGUGUGCGGUGCCCCCCUCCACCAUAAUCCUCCUCGAUAAUAUUGUAGCAGUGCUUAGGCGAAGCCCUGCGUCGGUAGAACAUCAUCAUCAUCACCACGCCAUCGUGCUGACGAAACUCUCCCUCGACACUCGGCUGGAUCAGAGUUCGAGGGACGUCAUCGAGCUGAACGUGUGCAAGAACUCGGAGGUGCCGUGCUUUCGGUGCUUGAUCGGUCGGGCCGUGAAGACGUACGACUACAUCAACCACGUUGUGCUAAUGCUUCCGCUUACGGUCUACGAGGGUAUGUGGACACACUCUCCCCUCUCUUUGCUAUACAUCACCAUGAUCUUGCGUGUGCGUAGGAAAAUUUUGAAAUUUUUGCGUUACCCAACAAUGACAUCUGAGCCAGGUUUUAUGCGUUGAUGUUAUAUGCACAAGUAGAACACUAGUGAGUUGUGGGCGAUACAAGUCAUACUGCUUACCAGCAUGUCAUACUUUGGUUCGGCGGUAUUGUUGGAUGAAGCGGCCCGGACCGACAUUACGCGUACGCUUACGCGAGACUGGUUCUACCAACGUGCUUUGCACAUAGGUGGCUGGCGGGGGUCAGUUUCUCCAACUUUAGUUGAACCGAGUGUGGCUACGCCCGGUCCUUGAGAAGGUUAAAACAACACUAACUUGACGAACUAUCAUUGUGGUUUUGAUGCGUAGGUAAGAACGGUUCUUGCUCAACCCAUAGCAGCCACGUAAAACUUGCAACAACAAAGUAGAGGAAGUCUAACUUGUUUUUGCAGGGCAUGUUGUGAUGUGAUAUGGUCAAGACGUGAUGCUAUAUUUUAUUGUAUGAGAUGAUCAUGUUUUGUAACCAAGUUAUCGGCAACUGGCAGGAGCCAUAUGGUUGUCAGUUUAUUGUAUGCAAUGCAAUCGCCCUAUAAUUGCUUUACUUUAUCACUAAGAGGUAGCGAUAGUCGUAGAAGCAAUAGGUGGCGAAACGACAAUGAUGCUACGAUGGAGAUCAAGGUGUCAUGCCGGUGACGAUGGUGAUCAUGACGGUGCUUCGAAGGUGGAGAUCACAAGCACAAGAUGAUGAUGGGCAUAUCAUAUCACUUAUAUGUUGGGGAACGUAGCAGAAAUUCAAAAUUUUCCUACGUGUCACCAAGAUCUAUCUAUGGAGAAACCAACAACGAGGGGAAGGAGAGUGCAUCUACUUACCCUUGUAGAUCGCUAAGCGGAAGCGUUCAAGAGAACAGGGUUGAAGGAGUCGUACUCGUCGUGAUCCAAAUCACCGGAGAUCCUAGUGCCGAACGGACGGCACCUCCGCGUUCAACACACGUACAGCCCGGUGACGUCUCCCACACCUUGAUCCAGCAAGGAGAGAGGGAGAGGUUGAGGAAGACUCCAUCCAGCAGCAGCACAACGGCGUGGUGGUGAUGGAGGAGCGUGGCAAUCCUGCAGGGCUUCGCCAAGCACCGCGGGAGAGGAGGAGGGAGAGAGGUAGGGCUGCGCCAGGGAGAGGUGAAACUCAUGUGUUGGCAGCCCCAAAACCCUCAAGUAUAUAUAGGGGAGAGGGAGGGGGUGCGCCCCCUCUAGGGUUUCCACCCCAAGGGGUGCGGCUGCCCCAAUCCCAUCUAAGGGUGGCGGCCAAGGGGGGAUAGGGGGGAAACUUGCCCCCCAAGUUAGGUGGAAGCACCCCUCCCCAAACCCUAGGCGCCUUGGGCCCUUGUGUGGGGGCGCACCAGCCCACCUGGGGCUGGUCCCCUCCCACACUUGGCCCAUGCAGCCCUCCGGGGCCGGUGGCCCCACUUGGUGGACCCCCGGGACCCUCCCGGUGGUCCCGGUAUGUUACCGAUAAAACCCAAAACUUUUCCGGUGACCAAAACAGGACUUCCCAUAUAUAAAUCUUUACCUCCGGACCAUUCCGGAACUCCUCGUGACGUCCGGGAUCUCAUCCGGGACUCCGAACAACAUUCGGUAACCACAUACAAACUUCCUUUAUAACCCUAGUGUCAUCGAACCUUAAGUGUGUAGACCCUACGGGUUCGGGAACCAUGCAGACAUGACUGAGAUGUUCUCCAGUCAAUAACCAACAGCGGGAUCUGGAUACCCAUGUUGGCUCCCACAUGUUCCACGAUGAUCUCAUCGGAUGAACCACAAUGUCAAGGACUCGGUCGAUCCCGUAUACAAUUCCCUUUGUCUAGCAGUAUUGUACUUGCCCGAGAUUCGAUCGUCGGUAUCCGAUACCUUGUUCAAUCUCGUUACCGGCAAGUCUCUUUACUCGUUCCGUAACACAUCAUCCCAUGAUCAACCCCUUGGUCACAUUGUGCACAUUAUGAUGAUGUCCUAUCGAGUGGGCCCAGAGAUACCUCUCCGUCACACGGAGUGACAAAUCCCAGUCUCGAUUCGUGCCAACCCAACAGACACUUUCGGAGAUACCUGUAGUGCACCUUUAUAGUCACCCAGUUACAUUGUGACAUUUGGUACACCCAAAGCAUUCCUACGGUAUCCGGGAGUUGCACAAUCUCAUGGUCUAAGGAAAAAAUACUUGACAUUGUAAAAGCUUUAGCAUACGAACUACACGAUCUUUUUGCUAGGCUUAGGAUUGGGUCUUGUCCAUCACAUCAUUCUCCUAAUGAUGUGAUCCCGUUAUCAAUGACAUCCAGUGUCCAUGGUCAGGAAACCGUAACCAUCUAUUGAUCAACGAGCUAGUCAACUAGAGGCUUACUAGGGACAUGGUGUUGUCUAUGUAUCCACACAUGUAUCUAAGUUUCCUAUCAAUACAAUUACAGCAUGGAUAAUAAACGAUUAUCAUGAACAAAGAAAUAUAAUAAUAACUUAUUUAUUAUUGCCUCUAGGGCAUAUUUCCAACAGUCUCCCACUUGCACUAGAGUCAAUAAUCUAGUUCACAUCGCCAUGUGAUUAACACUCACAGGUCACAUCGCCAUGUGACUAACAUCCAAAGAGUUUACUAGUGUCAUUAAACUAGUUCACAUCAUCAUGUGAUUAAGACUCAAUGAGUUCUGGGGUUUGAUCAUGUUUUACUUGAGAGAGAAGUUUUAGUCAACGGGUCUGCAACAUUCAGAUCCGUAUGCACUUCGCAAAUCUCUAUGUCAUAUUGUGAAUGUUGCUUCCACGCUCCACUUGGAGCUAUUCCAAAUGGUUGUUCCACUAUAUGUAUCCGGUUUGCUACUCAGAGUCAUUCGGAUAAGUGUUAAAGCUUGUAUCGUCGUAACCCUUUACGCCGAACUCUUUAUCACCUCCAUAAUCGAGAAACAAAUCCUUAUUCCUCUAAGGAUAAUUUUGAUCGCUAUCUGGUGAUCCACUCCUUGGUCACCUUUGUACCCUCUUGCCAGACAUGUGGCAAGGCACACAUCAGGUGCGGUACUUAGCAUAGCAUACUAUAGAGCCUACGUCUAAAGCAUAGGGGACAACCUUUGUCCUUUCUCUUUUUCUGACGUGGUCGAGCUUUAAGUCUUAACUUCGUACCUUACAACUCAGGCAAGAACUCCUUCUUUGACUGAUCCAUCUUGAACACUUUCAAGAUCAUGUAAAGGUACGUGCUCAUUUGAAAGUAUUAUUAAGCAUUUUGAUCUAUCCUUAUAGAUCUUGAUGCUCAAUGUUCAAGUAGCUUAAUCCAGGUUUUCUAUUGAAAAACACUUUUCAAAUAACCCUAUAUGCUUUCCAAAAAUUCUACAUCAUUUUUGAUCAACAAUAUGUCAACAACAUAUACUUAUCAGAAAUUCUAUAGUGCUCCCACUCACUUCUUUGGAAAUACAAGUUUCUCAUAAACUUUGUAUAAACCCAAAAUCUUUGAUCAUCCUAUCAAAGUGCAUAUUCCAACUCCGAGAUGCUUACUCCAGUCCUUAGAAGGAUCGCUGGAGCCAGCAUACCUUUUAGCAUCCUUAGGAUCGACAAAACCUUUCUGAUUGUAUCGCAUACAACCUUUCCUUACGAAAACUGGUAAGGAAACUCGUUUUGACAUCCAUCUGCCAGAUUUCAUAAAUGCAGCUUGUGCUAACAUGAUUCCAACGGACUUUAAGCAUCGCUACGGAUGAGAAAAUCUCAUCGUAGUCAACUCCUUGAACUUGUGAAAAACUCUUCGCCACAAGUCGAGCUUCAUAGAUGGUGACAUUACCAUCCACGCCCGUCUUCUUCUUAAAGAUCCAUUUAUCUCAAUGGCUUGCCGAUCAUCGAGCAAGUCCACCAAAGUCCAUGCUUUGUUCUGAUACAUGGAUCCUAUCUCGGAUUUCAUGGCUCCUAACCAUUUGUCGGAAUUUGGGCCCACCAUCUCUUCUCCAUAGCUCGUAGGUUCAUUGUUGUCUAGCAAAAUGGCCUUCAAGACAGGAUCACCGUACCACUCCGAAGCAGUACACGUCUUUGUCGUCCUACGAGGUUCGGUAGUUACUUGAUCCGAAGCUUCAUGAUCAAUAUCAUAAGCUUCCACUUCAAUUGGUGUAGGUGCCACGGGAACAACUUCCUGUGCCCUGCUACACACUGGUUGAAGUGAUGGUUCAAUAACCUCAUCAAGUCUCCACUAUCCUCCCACUCAAUUCUCGAGACAAACCUUUCCUCGAGAAAGGACCCGAUUCAAGAAACAAUCCCUAUUGCUUUCGGAUCUGAAUUAGGAGGUAUACCCAACUGUUUUGGGUGUCCUAUGAAGAUGCAUUUUAUCCGCUUUGGGUUCGAGCUUAUCAACCUGAAACUUUUUCACAUAAGCGUCGCAGCCCCAAACCUUUAAGAAACGACAACUUAGGUUUCUCCAAACCACAGUUCAAACGGUGUCGUCUCAACGGAAUUACGUGGUGCCUUAUUUAAAGUGAGUGCAGUUGUCUCUAAUGCCUAACCCAUGAAUGAUAGUGGUAAUUCGAUAAGAGACAUCAUGGUACACACCAUAUCCAAUAGGGUGCAACUAUGAUGUUCGGACACACCAUCACACUAUGGUGUUCCAGGCGGUAUUAAUUGUGGAACAAUUUCCACAAUGUCUUAAUUGCAUGCCAAAGCUUGUAACUCAGAUACUCAUCUCUAUGAUCAUAUCAUAGACAUUUUAUCCUGUUGUCACAAUGAUCUUCAACUUCACUCUGAAAUAACUUGAACCAUUCAAUAAUUCAGACUUGUGUUUCAUCAAGUAAAUAUACUCAACAUCUACUCGAAUCAUCUGUGAAGUAAGAACAUAACGAUAUUCACUGCAUGCCUCAGCACUCAUUGGACUGCACACAUCAAAAUGUGUUACUUCCAAAAGGUUGCUAUCUUGUUCCAUCUUACUGAAAAACGAGGCUUUUUAGUCAUCUUUCCCAUGUGGUAUGAUUUGCAUAUCUCAAGUGAUUCAAAAUCAAGUGAGUCCAAACGAUCCAUCUGCAUGGAGUUUCUUCAUGCGUAUACACCAAUAGACAUGGUUCACAUGUCUCAAACUUUUCAAAAAAUGAGUGAGUCCAAAGAUCCAUCAACAUGGAGCUUCUUCAUGCGUUUUAUACCAGUAUGACUUACAUGGCAGUGCCACAAGUAAGUGGUACUAUCAUUACUAUCUUAUAUUUUGGCAUGAAAAUGUGUAUCACUACGAUCGAGAUUCAAUAAACCAUUCCUUUAGGUGCAAGACCAUUGAAGGUAUUAUUCAAAUAAAUAGAGUAACCAUUAUUCUCCUUAAAUGAAUAACCGUGUUGCGAUAGACACAAUCCAAUCAUGUCUAUGCUCAACGCAAACACCAAAUGACAAUUAUUCAGGUUUAAUACUAAUCUUGAUGGUAGAGGGAGCGUGCGAUGUUUGAUCACAUCAAACUUGGAAACACUUCCAACACAUAUCGUCAGCUCACCUUUAGCUAGUCUCUGUUUAUUCCGUAGCCUUUUAUUUCGAGUUACUAACACUUAGCAACCGAACCGGUAUCUUAAUACCCUGGUGCUACUAGGAGUACUAGUAAAGUACACAUUAACAUAAUGUAUAUCCAAUAUACUUCUAUCGACCUUGCCAGCCUUCUCAUCUACCAAGUAUCUAGGGUAAUUCCGCUCUAGUGACUGUUCCCUUAUCAUAGAAGCACUUAGUUUCGGGUUUGGGUUCAACCUUGGGUUUCUUCACUAGAGCAGCAGCUGAUUUGCCGGUUCAUGAAGUAUCCCUUCUUGCCCUUGCCCUUCUUGAAACUAGUGGUUUCACCAACCAUCAAAAUUGAUGCUCGUUCUUGAUUUCUACUUUCGCGGUGUCAAACAUUGCGAAUACCUCAAGGAUCAUCAUAUCUAUCCUUGAUAUGUUAUAGUUCAUCAUGAAGCUCUAGCAGCUUGGUGGCAAUGACUUUGGAGAAACAUCACUAUCUCAUCCGGAAGAUCAACUCCCACUCGAUUCAAGUGAUUGUUGCACUCAGACAAUCUGAGCACAAGCUCAACGAUUGAGCUUUUCUCCCUUAGUUUGCCGACUAAGAAAAUCGUCGGAGGUCUUAUACCUCUUGACGUGGGCACGAGCCUGAAAUCCCAAUUUCAUCCCUCGAAACAUCUCAUAUGUUCCGCGACGUUUCGAAAACGUCUUUGGUGCCUCAACUCUAAACCGUUUAAUUGAACUAUCACGUAGUUAUCAAAACGUGUAUGUCCGAUGUUCGCAACAUCCACAAACGAUGUUUGGGGUUUAGCACACUGAGCGGUGCAUUAAGGACAUGAGCUAUCUACUGUCCGCAUAAUCGCUAUUGUCGACUUUCAACUAUAUUUUCUCUAGGAACAAAAUAGUGGAACUAAAGCGCGAGCUUACAACAUAAUUUGCAAAGAUCUUUUGACUAUGUUCAGGAUAAUUAAGUUCAUCUUAUGAACUCCCACUCAGAUAGACAUCCCUCUAGUCAUCUAAGUGAUUACAUGAUCCGAGUCAACUAGGCCGUGUCCGAUCAUCACGUGAGACGGACUAGUCAUCAUCGGUGAACAUCUUCAUGUUGAUCGUAUCCACCAUACGACUCAUGCUCGACCUUUCGGUCUCUUGUGUUCCGAGGCCAUGUCUGUACAUGCUAGGCUCGUCAAGUCAACCUAAGUGUUUCAUGUGUGUAAAUCUGUCUUACACCCGUUGUAUGUGAACGUAAGAAUCUAUCACACUCGAUCAUCACGUGGUGCUUCGAAACGACAAACUUUCGCAACGGUGCACAGUUAGGGGGAACACUUUCUUGAAUUUUUUUAUGAGGGAUCAUCUUAUUUACUACCGUUGUUCUAAGCAAAUAAGAUGUAUAAACAUGAUAAACAUCACAUGCAAUCAAAUAGUGACAUGAUAUGGCCAAUAUCAUAUUGCUCCUUUUGAUCUCCAUCUUCGGGGCUCCAUGAUCAUCAUCGUCACCGGCAUGACACCAUGAUCUCCAUCAUCAUGAUCUCCAUCAUCGUGUCUUCAUGAAGUUGCCUCGCCAACUAUUACUUCUACUACUAUGGCUACCGGUUAGCAAUAAAGUAAAGUAAUUACAUGGCGUUGUAUAAUGACACGCAGGUCAUACAAUAAAUAAAGACAACUCCUAUGGCUCCUGCCGGUUGUCAUACUCAUCGACAUGCAAGUCGUGAUUCCUAUUACAAUAACAUGAUCAAUCUCAUACAUCACAUAUAUCAUUCAUCACAUUCUUUUGGCCAUAUCACAUCACAUAGCAUACCCUGCAAAAACAAGUUAGACGUCCUCUAAUUGUUGUUUGCAUGUUUUAUGUGGCUGCUAUGGGUUUCUAGCAAGAACGUUUCUUACCUACGCAAAAACCACAACAUGAUAUGUCAAUUGCUAUUUACCCUUCACAAGGACCCUUUUCAUCGAAUCCGUUCCGACUGAAGUGGGAGAGACUGGCACCCGCUAGCCACCUUAUGCACCACGUGCAUGUCAGUCGGUGGAACCUGUCUCACGUAAGAGUACGUGUAAGGUCGGUCCGGGCCGCUUCAUCCCACAAUACCAUCGAAACAAGAUUGGACUAGUAACGGUAAGCAUAUUGAACAAAAUCAACGCCCACAACUAUUUUGUGUUCUACUCGUGCAAAGAAUCUACGCAAUAGACCUAGCUCUGAUACCACUGUUGGGGAACGUAGCAGAAAUUCAAAAUUUUCCUACGUGUCACCAAGAUCUAUCUAUGGAGAAACCAGCAACGAGGGGAAGGAGAGUGCAUCUACAUACCCUUGUAGAUCGCUAAGCGGAAGCGUUCAAGAGAAUGGGGUUGAAGGAGUCGUACUCGUCGUGAUCCAAAUCACCGGAGAUCCUAGUGCCGAACGGACGGCACCUCCGCGUUCAACACACGUACAGCCCGGUGACGUCUCACACGCCUUGAUCCAGCAAGGAGAGAGGGAGAGAUUGACGAAGACUCCAUCCAGCAGCAGCACAACGGCGUGGUGGUGAUGGAGGAGCGUGGCAAUCCUGCAGGGCUUCGCCAAGCACCGCGGGAGAGGAGGAGGGAGAGAGGUAGGGCUGCGCCAAGGAGAGGUGAAACUCAUGUGUUGGCAGCCCCAAAACCCUCAAGUAUAUAUAGGGGAGAGGGAGGGGGGUGCGCCCCCUCUAGGGUUUCCACCCCAAGGGGUGCGGCUGCCCCAAUCCCAUCUAAGGGUGGCAGCCAAGGGGGGAGAGGGGGGAAACUUGCCCCCCAAGUUAGGUGGAAGCACCCCCUCCCCAAACCCUAGGCGCCUUGGGCCCUUGUGUGGGGACGCACCAGCCCACCUGGGGCUGGUCCCCUCCCACACUUGGCCCAUGCAACCCUCCGGGGCCGGUGGCCCCAAUUGGUGGACCCCCGGGACCCUCCCGGUGGUCCCGGUACGUUACCGAUAAAACCCGAAACUUUUCCGGUGACCAAAACAGGACUUCCCAUAUAUAAAUCUUUACCUGCGGACCAUUCCGGAACUCCUCGUGACAUCCGGGAUCUCAUCCGGGACUCCGAACAACAUUCGGUAACCACAUACAAACUUCCUUUAUAACCCUAGCAUCAUCGAACCUUAAGUGUGUAGACCCUACGGGUUCGGGAACCAUGCAGACAUGACCGAGACGUUCUCCGGUCAAUAACCAACAGCGGGAUCUGGAUACCCAUGUUGGCUCCCACAUGUUCCACGAUGAUCUCAUCGGAUGAACCACGAUGUCAAGGACUCGAUCGAUCCCGUAUACAAUUCCCUUUGUCUAGCGGUAUUGUACUUGCCCGAGAUUCGAUCGUCGGUAUCCGAUACCUUGUUCAAUCUCGUUACCGGCAAGUCUCUUUACUCGUUCCGUAACACAUCAUCCCGUGAUCAACCCCUUGGUCACAUUGUGCACAUUAUGAUGAUGUCCUACCGAGUGGGCCCAGAGAUACCUCUCCGUCACACGGAGUGACAAAUCCCAGUCUCGAUUCGUGCCAACCCAACAGACACUUUCGGAGAUACCUGUAGUGCACCUUUAUAGUCACCCAGUUACGUUGUGACGUUUGGUACACCCAAAGCAUUCCUACGGUAUCCGGGAGUUGCACAAUCUCAUGGUCUAAGGAAAAAAUACUUGACAUUAUAAAAGCUUUAGCAUACGAACUACACGAUCUUUGUGCUAGGCUUAGGAUUGGGUCUUGUCCAUCACAUCAUUCUCCUAAUUAUGUGAUCCCGUUAUCAAUGACAUCCAAUGUCCAUGGUCAGGAAACCGUAACCAUCUAUUGAUCAACGAGCUAGUCAACUAGAGGCUUACUAGGGACAUGGUGUUGUCUAUGUAUCCACACAUGUAUCUAAGUUUCCUAUCAAUACAAUUACAACAUGGAUAAUAAACGAUUAUCAUGAACAAAGAAAUAUAAUAAUAACUUAUUUAUUAUUGCCUCUAGGGCAUAUUUCCAACAUUAUAUUGAUUGCAUGUGAUGUUUAUCCGUUAUGCAUCUUAUCUUGCUUUAAUUGACGGUAGCAUUAUAAGAUGAUCUCUCACUAAAUUUCAAGAUAAAAGUGUUCUCCCUGAGUAUGCACCGUUGACAAAGUUCGUCGUGCCCAGACACCACGUGAUGAUCGGGUGUGAUAAGCUCUACGCCCAUCUACAACGGGUGCAAGCCAGUUUUGCACACGUGGAAUACUCAUGUUAAACUUGACGAGCCUAGCAUAUGCAGAUAUGGCCUCGAAACACUGAGACCGAAAGGUUGAGCAUGAAUCAUAUAGUAGAUAUGAUCAACAUAGUGAUGUUCACCAUUGAAAACUACUCCAUUUCAUGUGAUGAUCGGUUAUGGUUUAGUUGAUUUGGAUCACGUGAUCACUUAGCUAGAUGAUUAGAGGGAUGUCUAUCUAAGUGGGAGUUCUUAAGUAAUAUGAUUAAUUGAACUUAAAUUUAUCAUGAACUUAGUCCUGGUAGUAUUUUGCAAAUUAUGUUGUAGAUCAAUAGCUCGCGUUGUUGCUUUCAUAAGUUUAUUUUUGAUAUGUUCCUAGAGAAAACUGUGUUGAAAGAUGAUAGUAGCAAUGAUACGGACUAGGUCCAUGAUCUGAGGUGUAUCCUCAUUGCUGCACAGAAGAAUUAUGUCCUUGAUGCACCACUAGGUGACAGACCUAUCGCAGGAGCAGAUGCAUACGUUAUGAACAUUUGGCUAGCUCAAUAUGAUUACUACUUGAUAGUUAAGUGCACCAUGCUUAACAGCUUAGAAUCGGGACUUCAAAGACAUUUUGAACGUCAUGGACCAUAUGAGAUGUUCCAGGAGUUGAAGUUAAUAUUUCAAGCAAAUACCCGAGUUGAGAGAUAUGAAGUCUCCAACAAGUUCUAUAGCUAAAAGAUGGAGGAGAAUUGCUCAACUAGUGAGCAAGUGCUUAGAUUGUCUAAGUACUACAAUCGCUUGAAUCAAGUGGGAGUUAAUCUUCGAGAUAAGAUAGUGAUUGGCAGAGUUCUCUAGUCACCGUCACCAAGUUACUGGAACUUCGUGAUGAACUAUAAUGCAAGGGAUGACGAAAAUGAUUCCCGAGCUCUUCGUGAUGCUGAAAUCGACGAAGGUAAAAAUCAAGAAAAGAGCAUCGAGUGUUGAUGAUUGAUAAGACCACUAGUUUCAAGAAAAGGGCAAAGGAAAAUAAAGGUAACUUCAAGUAGAAUGGCAAGCAAGUGGUCACUCCCGUGAAGAAGCCCAAAGCUGGACCAAAGCCUGAAACUAAGCGCUUCUACUGCAAAGGAAAUGGUCACUAGAAGCGGAAAUGCCCUGAAUAUUUGGUGGAUAAGAAGGAUGGCAAAGUGAACAAGAGUAUACAGGUUAUUGAUGUGUACCUUACUAGUGUUUAUAGUAGCCCCUGAGUAUUUGAUACUUGUUCAGUUGCUAAGAUUAGUAACUCAAAACAGGAGUUACAGAAUAAACAGAGACUAGUUGAGGGUGAAGUAACGAUGUGUGUUGGAAGUGGUUCCAAGAUUGAUAUGAUCAUCAUCAUACACUCCCUAUAUUUUCGAGAUUAGUGUUGAACCUAAAUAAAUGUUAUUUGGUGUUUGCGUUGAGCAUAAAUAUGAUUAGAUCAUGUUUAUUGCGAUACGAUUAUUCAUCUAAGACAGAGAAUAAAUUGUUAUUCUGUUUACAUGAAUAAAACCUUCUAUGGUCAUACACCCAAUGUUGAUGGUUUAUUGAAUCUUGAUCAUGGUGAUACACAUAUUCAUAAUAUUGAUGCAAAAAAAUGCAAAGUUGAUAAUGACAGUGCAACAUAUUUGUGGCGCUGCCGUUUGGGUCAUAUCGGUGUAAAACGCAUGAAGAAACUCCAUGCUGAUGGACCUUUGGAAUCACUUGAUUAUGAAUCAUUUGAUUCUUGCGAACCGUGCCUUAUGGGCAAGAUGACUAAAACUCCGUUCUCCGGAACAAUGGAACGAGCUAGUGACUUAUUGGAAAUAAUACAUACCAAUGUAUCGGUCCAAUGAGUGUUGAUGUUCGUGGCGGGUAUUGUUAUUUUCUGACCUUCACAAGAUGAUUUGUGCAGAUAUGAGUAUAUCUACUUAAUGAAACACAAGUCUGAAACAUUUGAAAAGUUCAAAGAAUUUCAGAGUGAAGUGGAGAAUCAUCGUAACAAGAAAUAAAGUUUCUACGAUCUGGUCGUGGAGGAGAAUAUUUGAGUUACGAGUUUGGCCUUCAUAUAAAACAAUGUGGAAUAGUUUCACAGUUCACACCACCUGGAACACCACAGCAUUAUGGUGUGUCCGAACAUCGUAACCACACUUUAUUGGAUAUUGUGCGAUCUAUUAUGUCUCUUAUCGGUUUACCACUAUCGUUUUGGGGUUAUGCAUUAGAGACAGUUGCAAUUAAAAAGGGCACGAUCAAAAUCCGUUGAGACGACGCCUUAUGAACUGUGGUUUGGCAAGAAACCAAAGUUGUUGUUUCUUAAAGUUUGGGGAUGUGAUGCUUAUGUGAAAAAGUUUCAAUCUGAUAAGCUCCAACCCAAAUCGGAGAAAUGCGUCUUCAUAAAAUACCCAAAGGAAACUGUUGGGUACACCUUCUAUCACAGAUCCGAAGGCAAGUCAUUCAUUGCUAAGAAUGGAUCCUUUCUAGAGAAGGAGUUUCUCUCGAAAGAAGUGAGUGGGAGGAAAGUAGAGUUUGAUAAGGUAAUUGUACCUUCUCCCAAAUUGGAAAGUAGUUCAUCACAGAAAUCAGUUCCAGUGAUUCCUACACCAAUUAGUGAGGAAGCUAAUGAUGAUGAUCAUGAAACUUCAGAUUAAGUUACUACAGAACCUCGUAGGUCUUCCAAAGUACAGUCCACACCAGGGUGGUACGGUAAUCCUGUUCUGGAAGUCAUGUUACUAGACCAUGGUGAACCUACGAACUAUGAGGAAGCGAUGAUGAGCCCAGAUUCCGCAAAAUGGCUUGAGGCCAUGAAAUCUGAGAUGGGAUCCAUGUAUGAGAACAAAGUGUGGACUUUGGUGGAGUUGCCCGAUGAUCGGCAAGCCAUAUUGUAUAAAUGGAUCUUCAAGAGGAAGACAGACGCUGAUAGUAGUGUUACUAUCUACAAAGCUCGACUUGUCGCAAAAAAAGGUUUUUCGACAAGUUCAAGGUGUUGAAUACGAUGAGAUUUUCUCACUCGUAUCGAUGCUUAAGUCUGUCCAAACCAUGUUAGCAAUUGCCACAUUUUAUGAAAUCUGGCAAAUGGAUGACAAAACUGGAUUCCUUAAUGGAUUUAUUAAAGAAGAGUUGUAUAUGAUGCAACCAGAAGGUUUUGUCAAUCCUAAAGGUGCUAACAAAGUGUGCAAGCUCCAGUGAUCCAUCUAUGGACUGGUGCAAGCCUCUCGGAGUUGGAAUAAACGUUUUGAUAGUGUGAUAAAAGAAUAUGGUUUUAUAUAGACUUUUGGAGAAGCCUGUAUUUACAAGAAAGUGAGUGGGAGCUCUGUAGCAUUUCUAAAUACUAUAUGUAGAUGACAUAUUGUUGAUUGGAAAUGAUAUAGAAAUUCUGGAUAGCAUAAAAGGAUACUUGAAUAAGAUUUUUUCAAAGAAAGACCUCGGUAAAGCUGCUUACACAUUGAGCAUCAAGAUCUAUAGAGAUAGAUCAAGACGCUUGAUAAGAUUUUUUCAAUGAGUACAUGCCGUGAUAAGAUUUUGAAGUAGUUCAAAUGGAACAGUCAAAGAAGGAGUUCUUUCCUGUGUUGCAAGGUGUGAAGUUGAGUAAGACUCAAAACCCGACCAUGGCAGAAAAUAGAAAGAGAAUAAAAAGUCAUUCCCUAUGCCUCAGUCAUAGGUUCUAUAUAGUAUGCUAUGCUGUGUACCAGACCUAUUGUAUACCUUGCUCUGAGUUUGGCAAGGGAGUACAAUUUUUGAUCUAGGAGUAGACCACUGGACAUCGGUCAAGAAUAUCCUUAGUAAGGACUAAGGAAAUAUUUCUCGAUUAUGGAGGUGAUAAAAGAGUUCGUCGUAAAAAAUUACAUUGAUGCAAGCUUUUACACUGAUGGAGAUGACUCUAAGUCUCAAUCUGGAUACAUAUUGAAAGUGGGAGCAAUUAUCUAGAGUAGCUCCAUGCAGAGCAUUGUAGACAUAGAAUAUUUGCAAAAUACAUACGGCUCUGAAUGUGACAGACCCGUUGACUAAACUUCUCUCACGAGCAAAACAUGAUCAUACCUUAGUACUCUUUGGGUGUUAAUCACAUAGCGAUGUGAACUAAAUUAUUUACUCUAGUAAACCCUUUGGGUGUUGGUCACAUGACGAUGUGAACUAUGGAUGUUAAUCACAUACAUAUGUGAAUAUUGGUGUUAAAUCACAUGAUGAUGUGAACUACAUUAUUGACUCUAGUGCAAGUGCGAGACUGAAGGUAAUAUGCCCUAGAGGCAAUAAUAAAGUUAUUGUUUAUUUCCUUAUUUCAUGAUAAAUGUUUAUUAUUAAUGCUAGAAUUGUAUUAACCGGAAACUUAGUACAUGUGUGAAUACAUAGACAAACAUAAUGUCACUAGUAUGCCUCUACUUGACUAGCUCGUUGAAUCAAAGAUGGUUAAGUUUCCUAGCCAUAGACACGAGUUGUCAUUUGAUUAACGGGAUCAUAUCAUUGGAGAAUGAUGUGAUUGACUUGACCCAUUCCGUUAGCUUAGCACUUGAUCAUUUAGUAUGUUGCUAUUGCUUUCUUCAUGACUUAUACAUGUUCCUAUGACUAUGAGAUUGUAACGCCCCGGAUUCGAUGCGCCAGGUGUCUGUCAGUUAUUCGCUGUCGUUGCCAUGUCAUUUUCUUGCGUGUUGCAUAUUGCCAUGUCAUCAUGUGCAUUUCAUUUUGCAUACGUGUUCGUCUCAUGCAUCCGAGCAUUUUCCUCGUUGUCCGUUUUGCAAUCCGGCACUCUUAUGUCCUCCGGCGUCCUCCUUUUGUCUCCUGUUGUGAGUGGGUGUUAAACUUUCUCGGAAUGGCCCGAGGUUUGCCAAGCGGCUUCGGUUUAGCACCGGUAGACCGCCUGUCAAGUUUCGCGCCAUUUGGAGGUCGUUUGUUACUCCAACGGUUAACCAGAUAAUCGUAAAAGCCUCUUUUGUCUUGCAGCCCAACACCCCUCCAAAGUGGCCCAAAACCCAUCCAAACCCCCUCCAUGCUCUCAGUCGUUCGAUCACGAUCGUGUGGGUGGAAACCUCUCCUCAUUUGGACUCUCCUAGCUCCCUCUACCUAUAAAAAGGCCUCUCUCCCCGAAUUUUUCGGGCAAACCCUAGAUCAACCUCCCUCUCACCCGCCGGACAUGUCCGCCCGCCGCCGGACACGUCCAGCGCCGCCGUCCUCGAUGAAUCCGCCGCCGCCAUUGUCGCCCGCGCCUCCUCUCUCUCCUCCCCGCCGCCGCGGCCGCGAGGCCCACGGCCGGCCCNNNNNNNNNNNNNNNNNNNNNNNNNNNNNNNNNNNNNNNNNNNNNNNNNNNNNNNNNNNNNNNNNNNNNNNNNNNNNNNNNNNNNNNNNNNNNNNNNNNNNNNNNNNNNNNNNNNNNNNNNNNNNNNNNNNNNNNNNNNNNNNNNNNNNNNNNNNNNNNNNNNNNNNNNNNNNNNNNNNNNNNNNNNNNNNNNNNNNNNNNNNNNNNNNNNNNNNNNNNNNNNNNNNNNNNNNNNNNNNNNNNNNNNNNNNNNNNNNNNNNNNNNNNNNNNNNNNNNNNNNNNNNNNNNNNNNNNNNNNNNNNNNNNNNNNNNNNNNNNNNNNNNNNNNNNNNNNNNNNNNNNNNNNNNNNNNNNNNNNNNNNNNNNNNNNNNNNNNNNNNNNNNNNNNNNNNNNNNNNNNNNNNNNNNNNNNNNNNNNNNNNNNNNNNNNNNNNNNNNNNNNNNNNNNNNNNNNNNNNNNNNNNNNNNNNNNNNNNNNNNNNNNNNNNNNNNNNNNNNNNNNNNNNNNNNNNNNNNNNNNNNNNNNNNNNNNNNNNNNNNNNNNNNNNNNNNNNNNNNNNNNNNNNNNNNNNNNNNNNNCCGACCGCUCCCGCCGCCGGCCGGAUCCGGCCGGAUUCGGUCCGGGGCCAUCUCCCCGCGCCGCCCGCGACCUCCCCCAUCAACUCCGGCGAAGAUGCCGGCAGACCUCGGUUCGCGCGCCGCCCAGAUCCAGAAACGGAGGUUGACCCUGAAUUUUGACUAAGUCCCUGAUUUUUUUCAUCAUUUUGGUGCCCGCUUUGACCUGUCAUAUCUCCGUGCAUAUAGCUCCGUUGUGCAUGCAUAAUAUAUCAAAAUGUUCAUCAUGAGAUGCUCUACAUUUCAUUCCAUUGUACCAUGUUUGUUUGAGUUCAUCUUGAUGCCUGAAUCAUCGUUGCAAGAGUGCUAUAUGAUGUUAUUCUGCUAAAACUAUUAUAACUUGGUGAUUUGUCAUUUUUGUUGCAUUUGAUGUGUGCAUCCUAUGAGCAUGAGGUCUACAUAUGUUUUGAACUACAUCAUGCCAUCUUUAUAGGGGUGCUUGCCAUGUAUUUUUGUGAGUCUUGUACUGAGUGCAUCAAGCUUGUGAAGUAGGGUACUUGCUGUUACUGUUUUGCUAGGCUGAAUCUGUUAUUUCGUGAUGCUAUGUAAACGUGCUGCUACAAGUCAUUCUGUGCAUAAUCUGGAUAUGUUCACUAAGGAUGUUUUGUUCUACAUGUUAUGCUCUAUCUAUCCAUGCCCCUGGUUGCAUUUAUAGCCUGCUGUAGCUUGUUUUAAGCUUGCUCUAAAUUUGCUAAGUAAUGUUGCUGUCAGCCUGUUAACAUGAAGUUCAGUUUUGCCAUGUGUUUUGCUAGUGAUCCAUGCACCCUAUGAACUUUUUCUUGCCAUGCUUAGCUUCACAAACAUGUCUUCUUACUGUUGGUUGCCUUUCCAUGCCAUGUAUUGCUCUGUGGUGAGUGGUACAAGCUCAUCAACAUGCCUACUUAUUGUUGUUCCUGCCAUGUAUGAAUCUGUCAUAUAACUUGCCAUGUUUACAUGGGUGCCAUCAUAUCUUCUGAUCCUUUUUGGCUCUUGGUCAGUAAAGGACUUUUGUUCUAUGAAUUUAGUAGAUUCAUGCCAUGCCUUUGGUUGCCAUGUUAAGUUCCUGUAACAUGUUGUUUGAUAGCUCUAAACAUUGCAACCUGAUGUUAUUUCUGCAAAGUCUGAAACUGUUAUUAUUUGCAAUCUUGCCAUGUGUGUUUGAGCAUGUUCUAGUGAUUUCUGGAGAUAGCUCAGUGUUCAUGGUUUGUUAUGCUUUACCUGUACAUCAUGUCCACGCCUUUUGUGUUUAUGUUAAGGUACUGUAGCAUGUUGUUUUGAUGCUUGCAAUGUGCCUAGUUGCUGUUUUGGACAGCUUGUCCUUUAAACUUGUUCCAUGUGCGUGUGUUGAACCGUUGCUCCGUUUUGAGUGUGCUCUAUAUGAAACUUGCUUGAUUUUGCAUGUAGCUUUAUAUUAUCAUGUUGCAUCCUUAUUUUGAGGUGUUUUCUUGAUGUUUGUAUGCAUUUUGCAUCAAUGCCAUGUUUAGCUUGUUUUGCUCAUAUCUUCUAGGCCGUAACUCCGAACUAAAUGAACUUUAUAUGUAACUUGACUAGAAUCUCGUGUAGAUCAUCUUGGUGCAUCUUAACUUGCUGUUUAACAACUUGAACAUAAGGUUUAUUCAGAUCUGGACCAAUUUCGAAACUUGCACAUGAGGACUUACCGGAAUUGUUAUAUGUUGUUUCCGGCCUCAUUUAAACUUGCUUUAAUGUGUUGCUCUUGUAUGCAUCAUCUCUUGCCAUGAGUAGCUUCAUGUAGUCUUGUUUUGCAUCAUGCUUGUUGUGCAUCAUGUCUUGCUCAUGUGUGGUGUGUUUACCAUGUUGUGUGAUUCUUCUCGAUAGUUCCUGUUUCAUUGCGAUCAUGAGGAUUCGUUCGUCUACGCUUGGUUCAUCUUCAUGGCUUCAUCUUCUUCAUGGACUCGUUCUUCUUCCUUGCGGGAUUUCAGGCAAGAUGACCGCUACCCUGGAUCUCACUACUAUCAUUGCUAUGCUAGUUGCUUCGUUCUAUCGCUAUGUUGCGCUACCUAUCACCUGUUUAUCAAGCCUCCCAAAUUGCCAUGUCAUCCUCUAACCUUUUCACCCUUCCUUGUGAACCAUUGCUUGGCUAUGUUACCGCUUUUGCUCAGCCCCUCUUAUAGCGUUGUUAGUUGUAGGUGAAGUUGAAGAUUGCCCCAUGGUGGACAGGUUUAUGUUGGGAUAUCACAAUAUCUCUUAUUUAAUUAAUGCAUCUAUAUACUUGGUAAAGGGUGGAAGACUCGGCCUUAUGCCUGGUGUUUUGUUCUACUCUUGCCGCCCUAGUUUCCGUCAUACCGGUGUUAUGUUCCUGAAUUUUGCGUUCCUUACGCGGUUGGGUGAUUUAUGGGACCUCCUUGAUAGUUCGCUUUGAAUAAAACUCCUCCAGCAAGGCCCAACCUUGGUUUUACCAUUUGCCUCACCACCACCUAUACCUUUCCCUUGGGUCGGCCAACCCGAGGGUCAUCUUUAUUUUAGCCCCCCCCCCGGGCCAAUGCUUGUCUAAGUGUUGGUCCGAACCAGAGCCCUUUGCAACGCCCCCUCAGGGAAACUUGAGGUCUGGUUUUAGUUGUAUGGAUUGCUCAUCCGGUGUUGCCCUGAGAACGAGAUAUGUGCAGCUCCUAUCGGGAUUGUCGGCGCAUCGGGCGGUUUUGCUGGUCUUGUUUUACCAUUGUCGAAAUGUCUUGUAAACCGGGAUUCCGAGUCUGAUCGGGUCUUCCUGGGAGAAGGUAUAUCCUUCGUUGAUCGCAAGAGCUUAUCAUGGGCUAAGUUGGGACACCCCUGCAGGGUUUAAACUUUCGAAAGCCGUGCCCGCGGUUAUGGGCAGAUGGGAAUUUGUUAAUGUUGGAAAUAUGCCCUAGAGGCAAUAAUAAAAGGAUUAUUAUUAUAUUUCCUUGUUCAUGAUAAUUGUCUUUUAUUCAUGCUAUAAUUGUGUUAUCCGGAAAUCGUAAUACAUGUGUGAAUACAUAGACCACAACAUGUCCCUAGUAAGCCUCUAGUUGACUAGCUCGUUGAUCAACUGAUAGUCAUGGUUUCCUGACUAUGGACAUUGGAUGUCGUUGAUAACGGGAUCACAUCAUUAGGAGAAUGAUGUGAUGGACAAGACCCAAUCCUAAGCAUAGCACAAGAUCGUGUAGUUUGUUUGCUAGAGCUUUUCCAAUGUCAAGUAUCUUUUCCUUAGACCAUGAGAUCGUGUAACUCCCGGAUACCGUAGGAAUGCUUUGGGUGUACCAAACGUCACAACGUAACUAGGUGACUAUAAAGGUAUACUACGGGUAUCUCCGAAAGUGUCUGUUGGGUUGACACGGAUCAAGACUGGAUUUGUCACUCCGUAUGACGAAGAGGUAUCUCUGGGCCCACUCGGUAAUGCAUCAUCAUAAUGAGCUCAAAGUGACCAAGUGUCUGGUCACGGGAUCAUGCAUUACGGUAAGAGUAAAGUGACUUGCCGGUAACGAGAUUGAACGAGGUAUUGGGAUACCGACGAUCGAAUCUCGGGCAAGUAACAUACCGAUUGACAAAGGGAAUUGUAUACGGGGUUGCUUGAAUCCUCGACAUCGUGGUUCAUCCGAUGAGAUCAUCGAGGAGCAUGUGGGAGCCAACAUGGGUAUCCAGAUCCCGAUGUUGGUUAUUGACCGGAGAGCCGUCUCGGUCAUGUCUACGUGUCUCCCGAACCUGUAGGGUCUACACACUUAAGGUUAGGUGACGCUAGGGUUGUAGAGAUAUCAGUAAGCAGCAAACCGAAAGUUGUUUGGAGUCCCGGAUGAGAUCUCGGACGUCACGAGGAGUUCCGGAAUGGUCCGGAGGUAAAGAAUUAUAUAUGGGAAGUCGAGUUUCGGCCAUCGGGAAAGUUUCGGGGGUCACCGGUAUUGUACCGGGACCACCGGAAGGGUCCCGGGUCCACCGGGUGGGGCCACCUGUCCCAGAGGGCCCCAUGGGCUGAAGUGGGAGGGGAACCAGCCCCUGGUGGGCUGGUGCGCCCCCCCUGCCCCCCUGCGCCUAGGGUUGGGAACCCUAGGGGAGGGGGCGCCUCCACUUGCCUUGUUGGGCAAGUUUCCCCCCUUGGCCGCCGCCCCCCUAGGAGAUCCCAUCUCCUAGGGCCGGCGCCCCCUAGGGUCCUUAUAUAAAGAGGGGGGAGGGAGGGCAGCCGCACUUUUGCACUUGGCACAUCCCUUCCCCCUUUGCUACACCUCUCCCUUACGCAGACGCUUGGCAAAGCCCUGCCGGAUCCCUGCUGCAUCCACCACCACGCCAUCGUGCUGCUGGAUCUUCAUCAACCUCUCCUUCCCCCUUGCUGGAUCAAGAAGGAGGAGACAUCACGCUGACCAUACGUGUGUUGAACGCGGAGGUGCCGUCCGUUCGGUGCUAGGAUCUCCGGUGAUUUGGAUCACGACGAGUACGACUCCAUCAACCCCGUUCUCUUGAACGCUUCCGCUCGCGAUCUACAAGGGUAUGUAGAUGCACCCCUCUCUCUCGUUGCUAGAUGAACUCAUAGAUUGAUCUUGGUGAACGUAGGAAUUUUUUUAUUUUAUGCCACGUUCCCCAACAGUGGCAUCAUGAGCUAGGUCUAUGCGUAGUUCUCUUUGCACGAGUAGAACACAAAUCUGUUGUGGGCGUAGAUGUUGUCAACUUUCUUGCCACUACUAGUCUUAUUUUUCUUCAGCGGUAUUGUGGGAUGAAGCGGCCCGGACCGACCUUACACGUACGCUUACGUGAGGCAGGUUCCACCGACUGACAUGCACUAGUUGCAUAAGGUGGCUAGCGGGUGUCUGUCUCUCCCACUUUAGUUGGAGCGGAUUCGAUGAAAAGGGUCCUUAUGAAGGGUAAAUAGAAGUUGACAAAUCAUGUUGUGGCUUUUUCGUAGGUAAUAAAACGUUCUUGCUAGAACCCUAUUGCAGCCACAUAAAAGAUGCAACAACAAUUAGAGCACGUCUAACUUGUUUUUCCAGCAAUUGCUUUGUGAUGUGAUAUGGCCAAAAGUUGUGAUGAAUGAUGAAUGAUAUAUUGUGAUGUAUGCAAUCAUGUUCUUGUAAUACGAAUCACGACUUGCAUGUCGAUGAGUAUGAAAACCGACAGGAGCCAUAGGAGUUGUCUUAAUUAUUGUAUGACCUGCGUGUCAAUGAUUUAACCCCAUGUAAUUACUUUACUUUAUUGCUAAACCGUUAGCCAUAGUAGUAGAAGUAAUAGUUGGCGAGCAACUUCAUGGAGACACGAUGAUGGAGAUCAUGGUGUCAUGCCGGUGACGAAGAUGAUCAUGGAGCCCCGAAGAUGGAGAUCAAAGGAGCUAUAUGAUAUUGGCCAUAUCAUGUCACUACUAUUUUAUUGCAUGUGAUGUUUAUUAUGUUUAUGCAUCUUGUUUACUUAGAACGACGGUAGUAAAUAAGAUGAUCCCUCAUAAUAAUUUCAAGAAAGUGUUCCCCCUAACUGUGCGCCGUUGCGACAGUUCGUUGUUUCGAAGCACCACGUGAUGAUCAGGUGUGAUAGAUUCUAACGUUCACAUACAACGGGUGUAAGACAGAUUUACACAAGCAAAACACUUAGGUUACCUUGACGAGCCUAGCAUGUACAGACAUGGCCUCGGAACACAAAGACUGAAAGGUCGAAUAUGAGUCGUAUGGAAGAUACGAUCAACAUGGAGAUGUUCACCGAUGAUGACUAGUCCGUCUCACGUGAUGAUCGGACACGGCCUAGUCGACUCGGAUCAUGUAACACUUAGAUGACUAGAGGAAUGUCUAAUCUGAGUGGGAGUUCAUUAAAUAAUUUGAUUAGAUGAACUUAAUUAUCAUGAACUUAGUCUAAAAUCUUUGCAAAAAUGUCUUGUAGAUCAAAUGGCCAACGCUCAUGUCAACAUGAACUUCAACGCGUUCCUAGAGAAAACCAAGCUGAAAGAUGAUGGCAGCAACUAUACGGACUGGGUGCGGAACCUGAGGAUCAUCCUCAUAGCUGCCAAGAAAGCAUAUGUCCUAGAAGGACCGCUAGGUGAAGCACCCAUCCCAGAGAACUAAGACGUUAUGAAUGCUUGGUAGUCACGUGUUGAUGAUUACUCCCUCGUUCAGUGCGGCAUGCUUUACAGCCUAGAACCGGGGCUCCAAAAGCAUUUUGAGCAACACGGAGCAUAUGAGAUGUUCGAGGAGCUGAAAAUGGUUUUCCAAGCUCAUGCCCGGGUCGAGAGAGAUGAAGUCUCCGACAAGUUCUAUAGUUGUAAGAUGGAGGAAAAUAGUUCUGUCAGUGAGCACAUACUCAAAAUGUUUGGGUUGCACAACCGCCUGUCCCAGCUGGACAUUAACCUCCCGGAUGAGGCAGUCAUUGACAGAAUCCUUCAGUCGCUCCCACCGAGCUACAAGAGCUUCGUGAUGAACUACAAUAUGCAGGGGAUGGUGAAGACUAUUCCUGAAGUAUUUUCAAUGCUGAAGUCAGCAGAGGUAGAAAUCAAAAAGGAACAUCAAGUGUUGAUGGUCAAUAAAACCACUAAGUUCAAGAAAGGCAAGGCUAAGAAGAACUUCAAGAAGGACGGCAAGGAUGUUGCCGCGCCCGGUAAGCCAGUUGCCGGGAAGAAGUCAAAGAAUGGACCCAAGCCUGAGAGUGAGUGCUUUUAUUGCAAAGGGAAGGGUCACUGGAAGCGGAACUGCCCCAAAUACUUAGCGGACAAGAAGGCCGGCAACACUAAAGGUAUAUGUGAUAUACAUGUAAUUGAUGUGUACCUUACCAGUGCUCGUAGUAGCUCCUUUGUAUUUGAUACCGGUGCCGUUGCUCAUAUUUGUAACUCAAAGCAGGAGCUGCGGAAUGAGCGGAGGCUGGCGAAGGACGAGGUGACGAUGCGCGUCGGGAAUGGUUCCAAGGUCGAUGUGAUCGCCGUCGGCAUGCUACCUCUACAUUUACCUACAGGAUUAGUUUUAAACCUCAAUAAUUGUUAUUUAGUGCCAAGUUUGAGCAUGAACAUUGUAUCUGGAUCUCGUUUAAUACGAGAUGGCCACUCAUUUAAAUCCGAGAAUAAUGGUUGUUCUAUUUAUAUGAGAGAUAUGUUUUAUGGUCAUGCCCCGAUGGUCAAUGGUUUAUUCUUAAUGAAUCUCGAACGUGAUGUUACACAUAUUCAUAGUUUGAAUACCAGAAGAUAUAAAGUUGAUAAUGAUAGUCCCACAUACUUGUGGCACUGCCGCCUUGGUCACAUUGGUGUCAAGCGCAUGAACAAGCUCCAUGCUAAAGGACUUUUAGAGUCUCUCAAUUAUGAAUCAUUUGACACAUGCGAACCAUGCCUCAUGGGCAAAAUGACCAAGACUCCGUUCUCUGGAACAAUGGAGCGAGCAACCAACUUGUUGGAAAUCAUACAUACUAAUUUGUGCGGUCCAAUGAGCGUUGAGGCUCGCGGUGGCUAUCGUUAUGUUCUCACCCUCACUGAUGACUUAAGUAGAUAUGGGUAUGUUUACUUGAUGGAACACAAGUCUGAGACCUUUGAAAGGUUCAAGGAAUUUCAGAAUGAGGUAGAGAAUCAACGUGACCGAAAGAUAAAGUUCCUGCGAUCAGAUCGUGGAGGAGAAUAUUUAAGUCACGAAUUUGGUACACACUUAAGGAAAUGUGGAAUCGUUUCACAACUCACUCCGCCUGGAACACCUCAGCGUAACGGUGUGUCCGAACGUUGUAAUCGCACUCUAUUGGAUAUGGUGCGAUCUAUGAUGUCUCUUACCGAUUUACCGCUAUCAUUUUGUGGAUACGCUCUAGAGACAGCUACAUUCACUUUAAAUAGGGCUCCGUCUAAAUCCGUUGAGACGACACCGUAUGAAUUAUGGUUUGGGAAGAAACCUAAGCUGUCAUUUCUAAAAGUUUGGGGAUGCGAUGCUUAUGUCAAGAAACUUCAACCUGAAAAGCUCGAACCCAAGUCGGAAAAAUGCGUCUUCAUAGGAUACCACAAGGAAACCAUUGGGUAUACCUUCUACCUUAGAUCCGAAGGCAAGAUCUUUGUUGCCAAGAACGGAUCCUUUCUGGAGAAAGAGUUUCUCUCGAAAGGAGUAAGUGGGAGGAAAGUAGAACUUGAUGAAGUACUACCUCUUGAACCGGAAAGUAGUGCAGCUCAGGAAAAUGUUCCUGUGGUGCCUACACCGACUGGAGAGGAAAUUAAUGAUGAUGAUCAAGGUACUUCAGAUCAAGUUGCUACUGAACUUCGUAGGUCCACAAGGACAUGUUCCACACUUGAGUGGUAUGGCAACCCUGUCCUGGAAAUCAUGUUGUUAGACAACGGUGAACCUUCGAACUAUGAAGAAGCGAUGGAGGGCCCAGAUUCCAACAAAUGGCUUGAAGCCAUGCAAUCCGAGAUAGAAUCCAUGUAUGAAAACAAAGUAUGGACUUUGACAGACUUGCCCGAUGACUGGCGAGCGAUAGAAAACAAAUGGAUCUUUAAGAAGAAGACGGACGCGGAUGGUAAUGUUACCAUCUAUAAAGCUCGACUUGUCGCUAAGGGUUAUCGACAAGUUCAAGGGGUUGACUACGAUGAGACUUUCUCUCCCGUAGCAAAGCUAAAGUCUGUCCAAAUCAUGUUAGCAAUUGCCGCAUACUAUGAUUAUGAGAUAUGGAAGAUGGACGUCAAAACGACAUUCCUUAACGGCUAUCUUAAGGAAGAGAUGUAUAUGAUGCAGCCGGAAGGUUUUGUCAAUCGUAAGAAUGCUAACAAAGUGUGCAAGCUCCAGCGAUCCAUUUAUGGGCUGGUGCAAGCAUCUCGGAGUUGGAACAUUCGCUUUGAUGAGAUCAUCAAAGCGUUUGGGUUUAUGCAGACUUAUGGAGAAGCCUGCGUUUACAAGAAAGUGAGUGGGAGCUCUUUAGCAUUUCUCAUAUUAUAUGUAGAUGACAUACUUUUGAUGGGAAAUGAUAUAGAACUUUUGGACAGCAUUAAAGCCUACUUGAAUAAGUGUUUUUCAAUGAAGGACCUUGGAGAAGCUGCUUACAUAUUAAGCAUUAAGAUCUAUAGGGAUAGAUCGAGACGCCUCAUAGGUCUUUCACAAAGCACAUACCUUGAUAAGAUAUUGAAGAAGUGCAAUAUGGAUCAGUCCAAGAAAGGGUUCUUGCCUGUAUUGCAAGGUGUGAGAUUGAGCUCGACUCAAUGCCCGACCAUGACAGAAGAUAAAGAAGAGAUGAGUGUCAUCCCCAAUGCCUCAUCCAUAGGAUCUAUUAUGUAUGCCAUGAUGUGUACUAGACCAGAUGUAAACCUUGCCGUAAGUUCGGUAGGAAGGUACCAAAGUAAUCCCGGCAAGGAACACUGGACAGCAGUCAAGAAUAUCCUGAAGUACCUGAAAAGGACAAAGGACAUGUUUGUCGUUUAUGGAGGUGACGAAGAGCUCAUCGUAAAGGGUUACGUCGAUGCUAGCUUCGACACAGAUCUGGAUGACUCUAAGUCACAAACCAGAUACGUGUAUAUGUUGAAUCGUGGAGCAGUAAGCUGGUGCAGUGGCAAGCAGAGCGUCGUGGCGGGAUCUACAUGUGAAGCGGAGUACAUGGCAGCCUUGGAGGCAGCGCAUGAAGCAAUAUGGAUGAAGGAGUUCAUCACCGACCUAGGAGUCAUACCCAAUGCGCCGGGGCCGAUCACUCUCUUCUAUGACAACACUGGAGCCAUUGCCCUUGCCAAGGAUCCCAGGUUUCACAAGAAGGCCAGGCACAUCAAGCGUCAUUUCAACUCCAUCCGUGAAAAUGUUCAAGAUGGAGACAUAGAUAUUUGCAAAGUACAUACGGAUCUGAAUGUCACAGAUCCGUUGACUAAACCUCUUCCGCGAGCAAAACAUGAUCAACACCAGAACUCUAUGGGUGUUCGAUUCAUCACAAUGUAACUAGAUUAUUGACUCUAGUGCAUGUGGGAGACUGUUGGAAAUAUGCCCUAGAGGCAAUAAUAAAAGGAUUAUUAUUAUAUUUCCUUGUUCAUGAUAAUUGUCUUUUAUUCAUGCUAUAAUUGUGUUAUCCGGAAAUCGUAAUACAUGUGUGAAUACAUAGACCACAACAGGUCCCUAGUAAGCCUCUAGUCGACUAGCUCAUUGAUCAACUGAUAGUCAUGGUUUCCUGACUAUGGACAUUGGAUGUCGUUGAUAACGGGAUCACAUCAUUAGGAGAAUGAUGUGAUGGACAAGACCCAAUCCUAAGCAUAGCACAAGAUCGUGUAGUUCGUUUGCUAGAGCUUUUCCAAUGUCAAGUAUCUUUUCCUUAGACCAUGAGAUCGUGUAACUCCCGGAUAUCGUAGGAAUGUUUUGGGUGUACCAAACGUCACAACGUAACCGGGUGACUAUAAGGUAUACUACGGGUAUCUCCGAAAGUGUCUGUUGGGUUGACAUGGAUCGAGACUGGGAUUUGUCACUCCGUAUGACGGAGAGGUAUCUCUGGGCCCACUCGGUAAUGCAUCAUCAUAAUGAGCUCAAAGUGACCAAGUGUCUGGUCACGGGAUCAUGCAUUACGGUACGAGUAAAGUGACUUGCCGGUAACGAGAUUGAAUGAGGUAUUGGGAUACCGAUGAUCGAAUCUCGGGCAAGUAACAUACCGAUUGACAAAGGGAAUUGUAUACGGGGUUGCUUGAAUCCUCGACAUCGUGGUUCAUCCGAUGAGAUCAUCGACGAUCAUGUGGGAGCCAACAUGGGUAUCCAGAUCCCGCUAUUGGUUAUUGACCGGAGAGCCGUCUCGGUCAUGUCUACGUGUCUCCCAAACCCGUAGGGUCUACACACUUAAGGUUAGGUGACGCUAGGGUUGUAGAGAUAUAAGUAUGCAGCAAACCUAAAGUUGUUCGGAGUCCCGGAUGAGAUCCCGGACGUCACGAGGAGUUCCGGAAUGGUCCGGAGGUAAAGAAUUAUAUAUGGGAAGUCGAGUUUCGGCCAUCGGGAAAGUUUCGGGGGUCACCGAUAUUGUACCGGGACCACCGGGUGGGGCCACCUGUCUCGGAGGGCCCCAUGGGCUGAAGUGGGAGGGGAACCAGCCCCUGGUGGGCUGGUGCGCCCCCUUGGGCCCCCCUGCGCCUAGGGUUGGGAACCCUAGGGGAGGGGGCGCCUCCACUUGCCUUGGGGGGCAAGUUUCCCCCCUUGGCCGCCCCCCCCCUAGGAGAUCCCAUCUCCUAGGGCCGGUGCCCCCCCUGGGGUACCUAUAUAAAGAGGGGGAGGGAGGGCAGCCGCACUUUUGCACUUGGCGCCUCCCUUCCCCCUUUGCUACACCUCUCCCUUCCGCAGACGCUUGUCGAAGCCUUGUCGGAUCCCUGCUGCAUCCACCACCACGCCGUCGUGCUGCUGGAUCUUCAUUAACCUCUCCUUCCCCCUUGAUGGAUAAAGAAGGAGGAGACGUCACCAUGACCGUACGUGUGUUGAACGCGGAGGUGCCGUCCGUUCGGCGCUAGGUUCUCCGGUGAUUUGGAUCACGACGAGUACGACUCCCUCAACCCUGUUCUCUUGAACGCUUCCGCUCGCGAUCUACAAGGGUAUGUAGAUGCACCCCUCUCUCUCGUUGCUAGAUGAACUCAUAGAUUGAUCUUGGUGAACGUAGGAAAUUUUUUAUUUUAUGCAAAGUUCCCCAACAGUUAAUGUCCGGUUGUAGAUAACUUGACACCAAAUUCGAAUUAAAACGCAUCAUCCGUGUGUGUAGCCGUGAUGGUCACUUUUCGGAGGAGUCCGGGAAGUGAACAUGGUUUUGGGUUAUGUUUGACGUAAGUAGGAGUUCAGGAUCACUUCUUGAUCAUUGCUAGCUUCACGACCAUUCCGCUUGCUCUCUUCUCGCUCUUAUUUGCGUAUGUUAGCCACCAUAUAUGCUUAGUCGCUGCUGCAACCUCACCACUUUACCCCUUCCUUUCCAUUAAGCUUUGCUAGUCUUGAUACCCAUGGUUAUGGGAUUGCUGAGUCCUCGUGGCUCAUAGAUUACUACAACAACAGUUGCAGGUACAGGUUAUGCGAUGAUCAUGACGCGAGAGCGAUGUUACUUGUUUCGGAGUUCUUCUUCUGCUUCUUCUUCGAUCAGGGGAUAGGUUCUAGGUCGGCAGCCUGGGCUAGCAGGGUGGAUGUCGUUUGAGUUUCUGUUUGUGUUUCAUCCGUAGUCGGAUGGUGCUCUUAUGUAAGAUGAUGUUGUAUUCGUGUGGCAUUGUAUGCCUCUUGUAUGUAUCCCCAUCUAUUUAUGUAAUGUUGAUGUAAUGAUAUCCACCUUGCAAAAGCGUUUCAAUAUGUAGUUCUAUCCUUGUUGGGACUUUCGAGUCUCUUUAGGAUAGUAUUGCAUAUUGGGCGUGACAAGUUGGUAUCAGAGCCUCGACCGACCUUAGGAGCCCUUUUGAUUGAUCGUGUAGUUUGGCCGUUGUUGAGUCUAGAAGAAAAACUGUUUUCGGAGUCUAGUUAUAUCGAAGAGUAGGAAUUCUUUUUACUCCUCUGCCUCUUCGUCGCUCUAGUGAGGAAUCUUGAUGUAGGUGUUUUGAAUUACUCCUCUUCCCCUUCAAAUUUUUCUUUAGGUUCACGCAGUUGGUUUUCCGGUCGUUGGUUCUCUUAUCUUUUCAUCCGGUGCAUUUCUCGUCAAGUGACUCAAGCCUCUUCAUCUUUGAGUUCAAUCCUCAGUUGUUUUCUUUUCCCGCCCUCCCACCCCUUUUCUUCUGGGAACCGGAGUCCAUAAUCGAGUAUGCUUCCUACUCGUGUGAAGUCCUUGCCUUCUUUCCUCAAGGAUUUCAACCGGUGCUUUGUCUUCAAGUUAUUCCUCGGUUUCCCCUUCCAAGUUACCUUUGUUUUACCCGCCCUCCCACCCUCUUCUUCCCGGAGCCUGAGUCUGUUUCGAGCAUCAAUGUCACUCGUGUGGAGCCUCUUCAACAAUCCUUUCCAACGGUGUUUUCUUCUAGUGGGCCCUAACCCACAGGUCUUUUUCCAGGAUCUUACCUGACUCUUAUAAUUUCCCGGAGUUAUUCUUAAAUUCUUUUCAAGUGUGACAUAAGAAUGGAUUCCAUCAGUCACAUGCCUUUCAAGAUCGAUUUCAAAUCAUUUUCAUUGUUGGCUCAACCUUUUCGGUUUUCACUCUCCCGGAGUAUCUCAGUAAUUUUGGUAGUGUUUCCGUCGUCAUUUGAAGAUCGAAGAAGAGUUUUCAUAUCAUCCUGUCGAAUUAUUUCAGUUUGUCAGAUAUUCUUUCUUACCCAUCCGGAGUGUGUCAGGAGUUGUUUGUCCAUUUAUUUUCACCGGAGGCCAUCGUUCCAAAAGAAUUCUUCAUCCUCAGAUUUCAGCUACCGUUAUCCAAUUAUCCCGGUGCUCCGUUCAAAUGUUCUUUAAUAAGCUCAUGAUCUCCUUGUUCUUUUGCAUCUAAAUCCCCUCUAACAUAUUUGUUCUUCCAAGUCUUCCCGGUGAUUCGUUCUCUUCCAUCAGUCAUUUUUGAAUUUUUACGGUGGUUCUUUCCAAUCCUACCGGUGGUUCAUGAAGACUUUCUCAAGUUUUGCGGCAUGUUCCCCUUAAUCAUUUGCAAUAAGUAUAAGUAGUAUGCAAAAUCCAACUUGUAAUCAAUUUAAUUUGAUGAAGGGUAAGCAUACAAUAAAUCUUAUUCUUAUUUCAUCCAAGUGAGUAAUCUCUCCCUUCGGAGUUUGUUCGUGAGGAAUAAAUUCUAGUUCCAAGUGUUUUCAUCUUUUCUUUUCCCGGAGUUCAAUUUUCCUCAGCCAUUUCGUCGGAACCUCCAACUAAAUCAUCGCAAGGCUCAUCUUAUUCUUUCUACCUUCAUUCUAUCUCAUCAUCUUUUUGUCACCGGAGUUCUCCAUGGUGGUUCAUCAUGAUUUAUUUCAUUCUUCAAGUGUUCAUCAAGAUUCUUGUAGGCUAAGCUCAAGUAUUCUUCUUCUUGCUUUGCGAGGUGCAUUUAAUUCUCCGUAACUUUUGAAAUGGAGUUUUGCAUUUCUUCUUUCUUCCCAGGUAUUUAAUCUUUUCCGUUUGUGGCCAGUUAUCACCUUAUGAUCUUGAGAUGUUACCUAUAAGACCACAACAAGCUUAUUCUUUCGUUGUUGAAUUUCUCAACAACUCCGUUUAAACCUUCCGUCUAAAGAUGCUUUCUAUUUCAUUCGUGGCACAAGAUGUCAUUUUCUUCUCCGUUCAUUUCAUUCCAUUCUUUCAAUUCUUCCGGAGGCAUUAAGUCGCUUAUGUCGUCAAGUGUCAUUCCAUCUUGUGAAGUUCGUGUUCUAUUCCUCCAUGUUUCAGCCGGAGUGGUGCAUAAAUCCUUUCAGUCUUAUUCGUUUCUUAUCUCGUUCUAACCGGAGUUGUUUCAUAGUCUAUCUGAUUCAGUGAGCUUUCGAUUCUCGUCAUUCUCGUUGUUCCUCUCUUCUUCUCGAGUGCUCUCGAUCUUUGCCUCUUCUCUUGAGUUCUUGUUUCACCUCAUCCCUUUUCCCUUCCGUCUCGGUCCUAAGAUCUCUGGACGAGAUCUCUUGUUAGUGGAGGAGUGUUGUAACGCCCUGGAUUCGAUGCGCCAGGUGUCUGCCAGUUAUUCGCUGUCGUUUCCAUGUCCAGGGCCGGUCCUGAGAUUUCGGGGGCCCGGGGCGAACUAAAAAUUGAGGGGCCCUAAUAUACAAGCCAUUAUUAUUAUUAUUAUUAUUAUUAUUAUUAUUAUUAUUAGUAGUAGUAGUAGUAGUAGUAGUAGUAGUAGUAGUAGUAGUAGUAGUAGUAGUAGUAACAAUUAAAUCCAAAAUCUGUAUGUGUAUCCAAAAAAAUAUACAUAAUACCUUAAAAUUUUCUUCUAACAUUCCUCGAUGCAAAGUCACUUAUGAUGGGGUCGAUGUCAAUCUCAUCCAAUAAUUUCUUCUCGAUGCAUAAUGUGGCCAAACCAUUUAAUCUCUCUUGAGUCAUGGUUGACCUCAAAUAAUUCUUCAAUAAUUUCAACUUUGAAAAGCUUCUCUCGGCCGAUGCGACCGUCACAGGCACAGUAAAUAAGAUGCGAUAGGCAAUGGAUAUAUUGGGGUAACAAUCAACUUCUCUGACAUGCCUGAAAAUCUCCAUAGCAGACAUUGCGCCAUCUGGCAAAGUGAAUCUCAUAAUCUUCAAUUCAGAAAUAAGAUCGUAUACCUCAACAUCAGAUGAACCAUUAAGAGAGAAAGUUUCUGCAAAUUUUGUGCAACAUUCUUCAAGUUCAUUGUCACUUAAUGACGUGAGAGUGCCCGAGCUCAAUAAAAAUCCGAAUAUAUCUUUAAAGACCAUGAUAUCUUUAAAUCUAUCAUUCAAAGAAGUGAUCGCCAUAUCAACCAAAACAUUUAAAUAUUUAACUUGGAAAGCCUUCUCAGCUUCCAAGAUUUCUUCUUGACAAUCACUUUCAUCAUACUGUUUCUUCCUCUUAGCAUGACGUUUCACUGGAAACAAUGGCUCUAUUCCCAUUUCAGUUGCAAUACCUUUAGCGAUGGUCAGACUUGAAGAAAACCCCUCAUCUCUGUACUUCUCAAAAUAUUUUGUUAUACCUUUUAUUUGCUUCAAAGCGGAGUCAAUGCACAUGGUUGACGAUUGCAACAUCUUGCUAACUUUAUUUACAGCAAAUAGAACAUCAUGCCAGAUAAUCAUACCAACUAUAAACUCAAAGCGACCAAGUGCAUCAAAUAAAUUUUUGGCAUCACUUUUAUCUUUAGGAUCAGUGUCAGAAGCAUGACGUAACUCAGACAAAGCUGACCUUAACUCAGCGGCUUGAUAUCUUAUUGCUGUAACACUUUUGAUUCUACUCUCCCAACGAGUAUUGGACAAUGAUUUCACGGUCAAACUAGGAACAUGUUUAAGCAAAACAUUCCACCUUUUUGUAGAGCCAGCAAAUAAUACAUAUAUGCGUUGAACAAUUCCAAAAAAUGAAACAGCUUUCUCACAUGAUUUUGCCAUAUCACAGAGAGUGAGAUUUAGGCUAUGACAAGCACAUGGCAUAUAUAAUGCUCUUGGAUUCAUAUCAAGUAACCUAGAUUGUACACCUCGGUAUUUUCCUUUCAUAUUAGAACCGUUAUCAUAUCCUUGACCCCUUAUAUCUUGAAUAUUUAGGCCAAAAGACUCAACAGAAUCAAGCAGUACUUUGAAAAUCCCUAAGCCAGAAGUGUCAUCCACUUUCAAGAACCCCAGAAAGUACUCCUCAAUUUUUAUUUUGCCAUCAGACAGAUUAACACAUCGAACUAAAAAGGUCAUUUGUUCUUGAUGACUAACAUCAGGGGUACAAUCUAGGAUAACAGAGAAAUACUUGGCCUCUUUAACAACCUUUAUGAUAGAACAUGUGAUGUCAGAAGCCAAAAGAGAUAUCAGCUCAUUUUGUAUUUUAUGACUGAGAUAGUGAUAAUGGGUUUCCUUGUUCUCAACAUGUCUAAGGUGAUCUUGCAUUACCAUAUCAAAUUCUGCAAUCAUCUCAAUGCAAGCUAAGAAAUUACCAUUAUCAUCCUUGUAAAGUUGCUCACUACUUCCACGAAAAGCCAAGUUGCGUUUACCAAGAUAUUUCACAACUGCUAUUAUUCUUAACAGAACUUGCCUGGCACGUUCUUUCUCCUUUGUUAUUUGAUGUUGCAAAUCCUUAUCAAUAGUUUCCUGUUUUCUCAGUCUAACUCUCAAUUCAUUCCACUUGUUCAUGUUAUUAAUAUGCUCAAUGCUAUUUUCAUGUUCUUUGAGCUUCUCACUAAUAUGCCUCCAAUGUCCUAGUCCAUCAUGUGCUAAGGAACUCUGACUCCUGUUGGUGCUAGACUUGAAGAUCUUACAACAGAAACAAAAAACUUUAUUGACAUUUUUUGAAUAAACUAGCCAUUUCCUAUCAUGUUCCUCUCCAUUGCUUAAUUUUCUAUGAUAAUGAGCAUACGAAAAAUGUCUUCCUGUUUCAUCUACAUGGUAUUCCAUUUUUUCCUCUCUGAUAGGCCCUUUCUCAACUAAGAUAUCUCUUGCUUUAUUAUCAAGAUUAUCCCAGUUUUUUGGAUCAUAAAUAUCGGCAGUAUAAACUGGUUGUUCAUCAACACUAGCAGAUUGGGCAUGUGCAUCCGACGAAUUACUUACAUUCUCGGAGCCACUUACAUUGUCAUCGCCGAUGUUGGAGUUGAUAUUUUCUUCUUGCUGAUUAGAGUCCGAGUUUUCAUUUGUUUGUUGCUCUUCCACAAUGGCAACAAUCGCCAACGCAUCAGCUGGGUCCGGCGGAGUAAUACAGGCACCAAUAUCACCUGGCAUGAAAAAAUUGCGAAUACCUCCGCGCUGUGACUUUAUAAGUUUAUUCUCUUUCUCCUUUUUUUUCCUUUUGUGGCUACCCGAUGGAUAGUUCCUCUUGCUGGGCGCCAUGAGAACAAACACAAUGCUGAAAAAAUAAUAUUGAAUCAAUUGUUGAACGGUGCUAGCUGUAAACCAAAGUCCAAAGAAUUUUUUGUAUGAAUAAUAUACCUCAAUACCUAAUGUCCAGAAUCCUGACGAUCAAACUUCAGUAGUCUGUACCUGUCUAGAGUCUGCAGAUUGUCGAGAGGAGAGCAAUUGAGAAAAGACCAAAGGAGGGUGAAGCAGGCACUGGGGUGAAGAUGGAGGCCCCAGAACUGAAAACAACGACCAACAUAAUCAAAUUAGAAAGGAAAUUACCAGGGGACGGCGAGGUCGGAGUGCGUCUAUGCGUGCACGGCGUCGGCGGCCAGCAGGUAGGGGCGUAGGGCUAGGACCUGGGAACUCUUCGUGAUGGAAGAAAGGCGUCGAACGUAACAGGAAGGGAAUCACGUCCAGGCGCUGAUUGCUCUCUAAUUCGCUAUCUUUCUUUUUUUUCCAGAGGAUCUCUCGCUGUUUCCUGGGAACGAUCUCGCGAUCGCUGGCCGCUGGGAUCGGACNNNNNNNNNNNNNNNNNNNNNNNNNNNNNNNNNNNNNNNNNNNNNNNNNNNNNNNNNNNNNNNNNNNNNNNNNNNNNNNNNNNNNNNNNNNNNNNNNNNNNNNNNNNNNNNNNNNNNNNNNNNNNNNNNNNNNNNNNNNNNNNNNNNNNNNNNNNNNNNNNUGGUUUUUGGGGGCCCGGGGCGGCCGCCCCCCUGCCCCCCCAAGGGUCGGCCCUGUCCAUGUCAUUUGCUUGCGUGUUGCAUUGUCAUCAUGUGCAUUUCAUUUUGCAUACGUGUUCGUCUCAUGGAUCCGAUCAUUUUCCCCGUUGUCCGUUUUGCAAUCCGGCACUCCUAUGUCCUCCGGUGUCCUCCUUUUGUCUCCUAUUACGAGUGGGUGCUAAACUUUCUCGGAAUGGCCCGAGGUUUGCCAAGAGGCCUUGGUUUAGCACCGGUAGACCGCCCGUCAAGUUUCGCGCCAUUUGGAGGUCGUUUGAUACUCCAACGGUUAACCGGGUAACCGUGAAAGCCUCUUUUGUCUUGCAGCCCAACACCCCUCCAAAGUGGCCCAAAACCCAUCCAAACCCCCUCCAUGCUAUCGGUCGUUCGAUCACGAUCGUGUGGGCGAAAACCGCUCCUCAUUUGGACUCUCCUAGCUCCCUCUACCUAUAAAAAGGCCUCUCUCCCCGAAUUUUUCAGGCAAACCCUAGAUCAACCUCCCUCUCACCCACCGGACAUGUCCACCCGCCGCCGGACAUGUCCAGCGCCGCCGUCCUCGACGAAUCCGCCGCCGCCACGUGUCGCCCGCGCCUCCUNNNNNNNNNNNNNNNNNNNNNNNNNNNNNNNNNNNNNNNNNNNNNNNNNNNNNNNNNNNNNNNNNNNNNNNNNNNNNNNNNNNNNNNNNNNNNNNNNNNNNNNNNNNNNNNNNNNNNNNNNNNNNNNNNNNNNNNNNNNNNNNNNNNNNNNNNNNNNNNNNNNNNNNNNNNNNNNNNNNNNNNNNNNNNNNNNNNNNNNNNNNNNNNNNNNNNNNNNNNNNNNNNNNNNNNNNNNNNNNNNNNNNNNNNNNNNNNNNNNNNNNNNNNNNNNNNNNNNNNNNNNNNNNNNNNNNNNNNNNNNNNNNNNNNNNNNNNNNNNNNNNNNNNNNNNNNNNNNNNNNNNNNNNNNNNNNNNNNNNNNNNNNNNNNNNNNNNNNNNNNNNNNNNNNNNNNNNNNNNNNNNNNNNNNNNNNNNNNNNNNNNNNNNNNNNNNNNNNNNNNNNNNNNNNNNNNNNNNNNNNNNNNNNNNNNNNNNNNNNNNNNNNNNNNNNNNNNNNNNNNNNNNNNNNNNNNNNNNNNNNNNNNNNNNNNNNNNNNNNNNNNNNNNNNNNNNNNNNNNNNNNNNNNNNNNNNNNNNNNNNNNNNNNNNNNNNNNNNNNNNNNNNNNNNNNNNNNNNNNNNNNNNNNNNNNNNNNNNNNNNNNNNNNNNNNNNNNNNNNNNNNNNNNNNNNNNNNNNNNNNNNNNNNNNNNNNNNNNNNNNNNNNNNNNNNNNNNNNNNNNNNNNNNNNNNNNNNNNNNNNNNNNNNNNNNNNNNNNNNNNNNNNNNNNNNNNNNNNNNNNNNNNNNNNNNNNNNNNNNNNNNNNNNNNNNNNNNNNNNNNNNNNNNNNNNNNNNNNNNNNNNNNNNNNNNNNNNNNNNNNNNNNNNNNNNNNNNNNNNNNNNAUCCGGUCCGGGGCCAUCUCCCCGCGCCGCCCGCGACCUCCCCCGUCAACUCCGGCGAAGAUGCCGGCAGACCUCGGUUCGCGCGCCGCCCAAAUCCAGAAACGGAGGUUGACCCCGAAUUUUGACUAAGUCUCUGAUUUUUUUAGCAUUUUGGUGCCCGCUUUGACCUGUCAUAUCUCCGUGCAUAUAGCUCCGUUUUGCGUGCAUAAUAUAUCAAAAUGUUCAUCAUGAGAUGCUCUACAUUGCAUUACAUUGUUCCAUGUUUGUUUGAGUUUAUCUUGAUGCCUGAAUCAUCAUUGCAAGAGUGCUAUAUGAUGUUAUUCUGCUGAAACUGUUAUAACUUGGUGAUUUGUCAGUUUUGUUGCAUUUGAUGUGUGCAUCCUAUGAGCAUGAGCUCUACAUGUGUUUUCAACUACAUCAUGCCAUCUUUACAGGGGUGCUUGCCAUGUAUUUUUGUGAGUCUUGGACUGAGUGCAUCAAGCUUGUUAAGUAGGGUACUUGCUGUUACUGUUUUGCUAGGCUGAAUCUGUUAUUUCGUGAUGCUAUGUAAACCUGCUGCUACAAGUCAUUCUGUGCAUAAUCUGGAUAUGUUCACUAAGGAUGUUUUGUUCUACAUGUUAUGCUCUAUCUAUCCAUGCCCCUGGUUGCAUUUAUAGCCUUCUGUAGCUUGUUGUAAUCUUGCUCUCAAUUUGCUAAAUAAUAUUGCUGUCAGCCUGUUAACAUGAAGUUCAGUUUUGCCAUGUGUUUUGCUAGUAAUCCAUGCACCCUAUGAACUUGUUCUUGCCAUGCUUAGCUUUAAAAACAUGUCUUCUUACUGUUGGUUGCCUUGCCAUUCCAUGUACUGCUCUGUGGUGAGUGGUACAAGCUCAUCAACAUGUCUACUUAUUGUUGUUCCUGCCAUGUAUGAAACUGUCAUAUAACUUGCCAUGUUUACAUGGGUGCCAUCAUAUCUUCUGAUCCUUUUUGGCUCAUGGUCAGUAAAGGACUUUUGUUCUAUGAAUUUGGUAGAUUUUGCCAUGCCUUUGUUUGCCAUGUUAAGUUCCUGUAACAUGUUUGAUAGCUCUAAACAUUGCAACCUGAUGUUAUUUCUGCAAAGUCUGAAACUAUUAUUAUUUGCAAUCUUGCCAUGUGUGUUUGAGCAUGUUCUAGUGAUUUCUGGAGAUAGCUCAGUGUUUAUGUUUUGUUAUGCUUUACCUGUACAUCAUGUCAAUCCAUUUUGUGUUUAUGUUAAGGUACUGUAGCAUGUUGUUUUGAUGCUUGCAAUGUGCCUAGUUGCUGAUUUGGACAACUUGUCCUUUAAACUUGUUCCAUGUGCGUGUGUUGAACCGUUGCUCCGUUUUGUGUGUGCUCUAUAUGAAACUUGCUUGAUUUUGCAUGUAGCUUCAUAUUAUCAUGUUGCAUCCUUGUUUUGAGGUGUUUUGUUGAUGUUUGUAUGCAUUUUGCAUCAAUGCCAUGUUUAACUUGUUUUGCUCAUAUCUUCUAGGCCGUAGCUCCGAACUAAAUGAACUUUAUAUGUAACUUGACUAGAAUCUCGUGUAGAUCAUCUUGGUGCAUCUUAACUUGCUGUUUAAAAACUUGAACAUAAGGUUUAUACAGAUCUGGACCAAUUUCAAAACUUGCACAUGAGGACUUACCGGAAUUGUUAUAUGUUGUUUCCGGCCUCAUUUAAACUUGCUUUGAUGUGUUGCUCUUGUAUGCAUCAUCUCUUGCCAUGAGUAGCUUCAUGUAGUCUUGUUUUGCAUCAUGUUUGUUGUGCAUCAUGUCUUGUUCAUGUGUGGUGUGUUUACCAUGUUGUGUGCUUCUUCUCGAUAGUUCCUGUUUCGUUGCGACCGUGAGGAUUCGUUCAUCUACGCUUGGUUCGUCUUCAUGGCUUCAUCUUCUUCAUGGACUCGUUCUUCUUCCUUGCGGGAUUGCAGGCAAGAUGACCGCUACCCUGGAUCUCACUACUAUCAUUGCUAUGCUAGUUGCUUCGUUCUAUCGCUAUGCUGCGCUACCUAUCACCUGUUUAUCAAGCCUCCCAAAUUGCCAUGUCAGCCUCUAACCUUUUCACCCUUCCUAGCGAACCAUUGCUUGGCUAUGUUACCGCUUUUGCUCAGCCCCUCUUAUAGCAUUGUUAGUUGCAGGUGAAGUUGAAGAUUGCCCCAUGGUGGACAGGUUUAUGUUGGGAUAUCACAAUAUCUCUUAUUUAAUUAAUGCAUCUAUAUACUUGGUAAAGGGUGGAAGACUCGGCCUUAUGCCUGGUGUUUUGUUCCACUCUUGCCGCCCUAGUUUCCGUCAUACCGGUGUUAUGUUCCCAGAUUUUGCGUUCCUCACGCGGUUGGGUGAUUUAUGGGACCCCUUUGACAGUUCGCUUUGAAUAAAACUCCUCCAGCAAGGCCCAACCUUGGUUUUACCAUUUGCCUCACCACCACCUAUACCUUUCCCUUGGGUUGGCCAACCCGAGGGUCAUCUUUAUUUUACCCCCCCGGGCCAAUGCUUGUCUAAGUGUUGGUCCGAACCAGAGCCCUUUGCAGCGCCUCCUCAGGGAAACUUGAGAUCUGGUUUUAGUUGUACGGAUUGCUCAUCCGGUGUUGCCCUGAGAACGAGAUAUGUGCAGCUCCUAUCGGGAUUGUCGGCGCAUCGGACGGUUUUGCUGGUCUUGUUUUACCAUUGUCGAAAUGUCUUGUAAACCGGGAUUUCGAGUCUGAUCGGGUCUUCCUGGGAGAAGGUAUAUCCUUCGUUGAUCGCGAGAGCUUAUCAUGGGCUAAGUUGGGACACCCCUGCAGGGUUUAAACUUUCGAAAGUCGUGCCCGCGGUUAUGGGCAGAUGGGAAUUUGUUAAUGUCCGGUUGUAGAUAACUUGACACCAGAUCCGAACUAAAACGCAUCAUCCGUGUGUGUAGCCGUGAUGGUCUCUUUUCGGCGGAGUCCGGGAAGUGAACACGGUUUUGGGUUAUGUUUGACGUAAGUAGGAGUUCAGGAUCACUUCUUGAUCAUUGCUAGCUUCACGACCGUUCCGCUUGCUCUCUUCUCGCUCUUAUUUGCGUAUGUUAGCCACCAUAUAUGCUUAGUCGCUGCUGCAACCUCACCACUUUACCCCUUCCUUUCCAUUAAGCUUUGCUAGUCUUGAUACCCAUGGUUAUGGGAUUGCUGAGUCCUCAUGGCUCACAGAUUACUACAACAACAGUUGCAGGUACAGGUUAUGCGAUGAUCAUGACGCGAGAGCGAUGUUACUUGUUUUGGAGUUCUUCUUCUGCUUCUUCUUCGAUCAGGGGAUAGGUUCCAGGUCGGCAGCCUGGGCUAGCAGGGUGGAUGUCGUUUGAGUUUCUGUUUGUGUUUCAUUCGUAGUCGGAUGGUGCUCUUAUAGUCUUCUUCUUAUUCUUCUUCUUUUCCAAAAUUCUUCUUAUUCUUCUUCUAGUGUUCUUCUUCUUCUAGUAUUCUUUUUCUUCUAGUAUUCUUCUAGUCUUCUUCUUUUUCUUCUUCUAACUUCUUGUUUAUCAUUUUGCAGAUUUGAUUUAAUUCACGGAAGCUUGCAUGGGUGGAUUGCUUCUUUUCCAUUUGUAUUUUUAUUUUGUAUCAAUGUGAAACUUUUGUGAAUUGAUGGAUAACGGUGUUGGAUGAACAAUGUGAAACUUUUGUAAUAUGUAACAAUGGAACUAUGUGUUGGCUAUGUAUGUAUAUAUGAUGGAACUUGUGUGUUGGCUAUGUAUGUAUAUAUGAUGGAACUUGUGUGUUGGCUAUGUAUGUAUAUAUGAUGGAACUUGUGUGUUGGCUAUGAUUGUUAUAUGGAUGCUUGUUAUAUAUAUAUGUGUUGGAUAUAUCAUAGGUGAAAUAGUAAGCUGAGAUUAAGAAAAUUGUUACUAAUGGCGCACUACCAUGUGGUGCGCCAUUAGUAUAGAAGACACUAGUGGCGCACUGUGGGCAAAACUAAUGACGCACUGCAUGGUGCGCCAUUAGUAUACCAGAUACUAAUGGCGCAUUAGUGGUGCGCCAUUAGUAAAAAAUACUAAUGGCGUGAUACUAAUGGCGCACCGGUAGUGCGCCAUUAGUAGGCAAAACCGGUGCACCAUUAGUAGGCCUUUUCCUAAUAGUGUACGGAUAUAUCAAGUAUUAUAUACAUCUGUAUCUAGAUAAAUCUAACUAUCUAAGAUAAGAAUUUUGGAACGGAAGGAAGUAUAAAGUAGUGAUCUAAACGUUCUUAUAUUAGUUUUCGGAUGGAGUACCAGUAUUAGCCACGAAUCAACUUAGGCAGAAAGCUGUACAACUCGUACCCAAACAAGACUCAUCAGCUCUAUGAGUUUCUACCGAGUGCAACUCAGACACAGCGAGCAGUGACUCAUAGCGGCGUAAGAAAAUCCUUACUUUUAGUAAGAAUCUAUCAGUCCUAGUUCUAACCGAUCCCUUAUCUAUCGUAAGGUAGUAAAAUUUUACUCCUCUCUCCAAUCUUCUGCCUAAAUUUACUCCACCGAUUGGCGGCUGAGUAAAAGCCGAGCCGCUUCCUCGCGUCGCUCCCCGCACCUACACUUUCGCCGACGCGACUCCCGAUGAUCCCCAGCCGGCCCCGCCACUACGUUGUUGCCUCCCCAGCCCUCCGCCGCCCUUCUGCCCGACGUCCAGCCCUUUCGGCCGCCGUUCCGGUCGCUGUAAUCAGGUGAACCGCCGCCACUAUCCCCAUUGUUGUUCAUUCGUCGGAUUGCUUCUUUUCGUCUUAUUUUUCUGUCGGCCGCCGCAUCCCAUGUUGAUUGCACACCGCCGUAGGUCAUUCCCUCUUGUCGUUGCCGGCCUGUUUAGUCAGAACGACACCGGCCGGCCGGUGCACCACCACCGCACCCCAAGUGUUCGACGAAUUUGCUAGGUGAGUUUUUUGAUCAUUUCUUUGUGAAACGAGCCAUUUGAUUGAACCAGGCCGUUUGAAUUGUAGAUGAAGAAGUUGAGGGAGAUGGCUUUGGAGGACUCAUCAUCAUCCGAACAGGAAGAAGACGACGAUGACUUUGACAUUGUUUUAGGCAUGAUUUUCAAUGAUGAUAUUCGGCGGCCGAGGAGAGGAUCACAGCUUUGCCACAUACACAUCAACUGUGAUAGAGUGGAGGGUCAUGCAAAGACCAUGAGAGACUACUUGGCAUUUCUUGAGGAGUAUCGCAAGAUCGAGAACCGUCAAGCUCAUUCUCAGCUCCAACAAGAUCUUGUUGAGUAUCACUGGUAGUGUCUUAGUGAGUCCUAGUUGUUCUAUCACAUGCUACUUAGAAGCUUUUACUCCAUCGGAUAAUCCAUUAUUUUUAGGGGAACGGUUAGAAAUGCCCUUAGAAGAUUUACUUUGUGUACGUGCAGCACCACAAAUAUUGUGUUCAUAUCUUCUUAACAAAGCAUCAGAACAUGUUAGCGCUUGCUAUGAUUGUGGACACUACAAAUAUUAGUGCAGGGAGAUCAGGCGAACAGUAGUUGCAGAAGCGGCGAACCGAGAGGCCGGAAUGACCGCCCCAUCAAAGAGGCUCUGCACAUAUGACCUGUUGAUGCAACGUGCGUCCGGGACCGCAACUCAUCCCAGUGCUAUCUUCUAUCACCGCGGACAUCGCGCCAUGAGUCGUGGCAGCUAUCAUCGCGCCAUGAGUCGUGGCAGCUAUCAUUCCAGCCAUGAACUGGGACCAAUGAAAUGCUUAUAUAUAUCCCUUGCCCGCGGGCAGAGCAGUUGAGUGCUCUGUUUUUUUGUGAGAGGUGUGUUGUGCUCUAGAUCACCUCCUAUGCACAUGAGGUAUUCGUUGAAAUGCCCGAGCCAUACUUAAGCUUUCUCCUCUCGAAGCUCCUUGUCCAAACUCCAUUUUCCUCAAAAUUUGUCUAGGUUUGGCGGUCUGUCCCACUACAAAAAAAGACACAUCCGUGACACUUUGGGCCAAACGAUUUUUUUUCCUGACAUACUUAUGACACUUCUAUGGCAAUAAUUCUGACAAAACCCAGUAUCAUCAUAUAUGUGGUGGGCUCCUACUUCUAUGACAAAAAAUCAUGACAUAAAAUGGGUUUUUCGUCCUGGGCGGGCCGGAGACGCAGCUGCAUGACAUUCUUUAGGCCGUCCAUAACGGAAAAAACCGUGGUAGAAGCGAUGGCGAGGAAAAUAUCGGGGAGUUCCCGGUUACGUUGGGUGGUCGGAGGCGAGCGAUGCGCGUUUCUCUCGUACCGUACGCGCGUGGGUGCGAGGCGUUGGUCUCUAACUGAACACGAGCGGGGCGUUGAGCUCUAACUGAACCCGAGCGAUUGCACUGCAGGCUACGCGUUACUGAACCCGAGCGAUCGAGCGAUNNNNNNNNNNNNNNNNNNNNNNNNNNNNNNNNNNNNNNNNNNNNNNNNNNNNNNNNNNNNNNNNNNNNNNNNNNNNNNNNNNNNNNNNNNNNNNNNNNNNNNNNNNNNNNNNNNNNNNNNNNNNNNNNNNNNNNNNNNNNNNNNNNNNNNNNNNNNNNNNNNNNNNNNNNNNNNNNNNNNNNNNNNNNNNNNNNNNNNNNNNNNNNNNNNNNNNNNNNNNNNNNNNNNNNNNNNNNNNNNNNNNNNNNNNNNNNNNNNNNNNNNNNNNNNNNNNNNNNNNNNNNNNNNNNNNNNNNNNNNNNNNNNNNNNNNNNNNNNNNNNNNNNNNNNNNNNNNNNNNNNNNNNNNNNNNNNNNNNNNNNNNNNNNNNNNNNNNNNNNNNNNNGUUGCUGGGGGUUUGCAUGAACAGUUCCCGGUGGGGGUGGAUGAAUAGGACGCCGUGUUGUUGCCUCUGGAUAAACAGGACCCCAAUCGAUCGAGCCGGUUGGGGCUGGAUGAACAGGACCCCCUGGAGGACUGGAUGAAUAGGAUGUCCCCGUGGAGGGCUGGAUGAACAGUAGCCGGUGGAGGGCUCGAUAAACAGUAGCCCGUGGAGGGGUGGUUGAACAGGACCCCGUGGAGAGGGCUGGUUGAACAGUAGCCGGUGGAGUAGCGCGCGAUGGAGCCUGGAUGAACAGGAACCCGUGGAUGAACAGUCGCAGGUGGAGGCUGGAGGAGGUCGAGGUGGUUGAACAGUAGCCCGUGGAGGCUAGAGGAGGUCGAUGAUCGAGAUGAACAGUAUCCCGUGGAGUCCCGUUUUGCGGUACGCCACACCCCUUCCGAUGAACAGGACCCCCGUUUCGACCGUAGCGCUCAAAAACAAGUCCGUUUCCUCCGUUUUGCAUUACGCCACACCCCUCCCAAUCAACAGGACCCUGUUUCGACCGUAAGAGGUCCAACAGAAGUCCGUUUCCUCUGUUUUGCGAUAUGCCAGACCCCUCCCGAUGAACAGGAUCCCGUUUCGAACGUGGCCGGCCGAACACAAGGACGUUUGCUCCGUUCUGCGGUACGCCAGGCCUCGUUUUCAUCGGCUGUUCCGUCCAAGCCGGUUGGCUCCCACGCGUUCCGUUGCCUCCUGAUGAACACAACGCAUUCCGUUGCCUCCCCAUGAACACAACGACGACGCAGUUUCUCCGUUUCGACCCAGCCACGUACACGAGCCUUGGCCGUACGUAUGCGUGAGUAGGCGUUCGAAACCCCGCCCGUAUGUACGUACGUGGCCGUAUUUACUUUCUUGUACCCUGGCCGCUGUACGUACGUGUACAUGCUAAAUGCGCGCCUCUACUACGACACGUACGCACCUCUACAUCGACCAGUAUGUACGUACACGUUCGCGACCAGAAUGACAACGCUACGUACGCUUCGACUAGGUGGGUCCCGACUGUCAGGCAAUUCCUUGCGUGCGAAGAUGUAGCUGGUGGGUCCCAGCAGUCAGGGGGGCGAAUAAAUUUUUUUGCCCGUAAUAUGCACGAGCUUCCUUGCGUGCGAAGAUGUAGCUGGUGGGUCCCAGCAGUCAAGGGGGCGAAUCAUUUUUUUCCCGUAAUAUGGACGCACUUCCUUGCGUGCAAAGAUGUAGCUGGUGGGUCCCAGUAGUCAGGGGGGAAACGUUUUUUCGCGGAAUAGGUGGCCCGUCCGGUGGGUCCCUGCUGUCAGGUGGAGGAAUAAUUAUUUUGCGCGUAAUAAGAAGGCACUUCCUUGCGGUCGCCGUGGACCCAGCUGUAAGCCUCUCCACGUACAGUACUCUUCUGAUGGAAGUCGUUCCUUGACCAUGUUGACCACGCCGCGCCGGGAGCACCAGGGCGGUGGAUGACGACGAGGCCUUGGAAGGGGACGACGCUGAGCCGGGGAAGACACGACAGUGGAAGCUCGCUCGGAGAGGAGUACGAGGGUUCACUGGUUCGGCUGCGGUGUGAGGCUUCCGAUGACUCUCGUUUGUUGACCACAUUGACCACACUGUGCCGAGCGCACCAAGGCCGGUGGACGAUGGAGAGGCCCCAGACUAGAACGACCCAAAGAUGGGAAAGACACGGCAGUGGAAUCGCAGAUGAAGAGGAGUGUGAAACUUGACUGGUUUGGGUGCGCGGCAGCACUGCCAUCCACGGGAGACAGGAGCAAGAACAGAGGUUGAAGAAGGAGCACGGCUGUUGGAUUAACAUCCAACAGUCCAGCUGCUAGAAUCAUUUGUUGAUUAAGUUGAUAAAGCCCAGCAUACAUGUCUGCUUAGUAGGCCCACAAGUCAGCCACCAAAUCUGCCGGGUCCCAGCUGUCAUCGGGAGGAAUAGUUUUUUUUUGCAUAACAAGGAGGCACCUCCUUCCGUGCGAAGAUACAACCGGCGGGUCCCAGCUGUCAGGGGGAGGGAACAGCUUAACAAGGAGGAACUUUCCUUACGUGCGACCAUGGACCUCAUGUGUCCCACCCAUCAGGCUCUCACGUACAGUCCUCUUCCGAUGACUCUCGUUUGUUGACCACGCCGCGCCGAGCGCAGCGAGGCGGUGGAUGACGGCGAGGCCCCAGACUGGAACGACCCGGAGAUGGGGAAGACGCGGCAGUGGAGUCGCAGACGGAGAGGAGUGGGAAACUUGACUGGUUCAGGUGAGGGGUGGGCAUACACUAGGCAGAGAAUAACAGGAGGUGCAGAGUGGAGGGAUGGCCUUACCAUCGGCAGGGUAGCGUUUCGUUGCGAGGCGCCCAAAACAACGCCGCUAGAAGCCGGAGGCUGGAGCAGGCGAUCCCAGCAGCGUUGGGGGAAGAAGACGAGAGAUUGAAGAAGAAUGUCGGCCGUUGGAUGUAAAUCCAACGCCUUGCUUAGGCUUCGACCUACUGGCCCACAUGUUAGCUAGUACAUUUGUUUUUUUAGUCCAGUUGGUGGGCUGGGUGAAAGAAUGAUGUAGCAUCUAUGCAACCUGUUUAUAUAUAUGGUAGAAUUUAAAGCCCAUUUGCAUUCUUCUCGAAAUCCGUGGACUUGCUAGGCUGGGUGAAAAUAUCAUAUUGGGCUGGACGAAGAAAUAUUAUAAAAACAUAAACACAUGAUUGCACGUCUAUUACUGCAUUGGUCAGUAAAAUCUUUGCAAGCUUAUGUACGCAAUCACUAGGAGUUAACUUGCCAAGUUAUAUAUAAACAAUUAUUAUUAUUAUUUUGUAAGAACUUUCAACUUAUGAAAUAAAAUAUCAUUUUAAUUUGAUGAGUUAAUAGAACAUGGGGUAUUAUUAUUUUUAGGCUAGACGUGAGACAGUUGAGUUGGUUCUAGGGAAAUGUACUGAGAGAAAACUCAGUUUACAUCGAAAAAAAAGAGGAAGAAAAUUCAGAUAUAGGAUUAAUGAAAACAAAAAAUAAAGGAAAUGGGAAGGUCUAUAAAAUGAUUGGACGAACGACAGGUUUAACGAAACCUUAUGUUGUUUCUGUUAUAUAUAUAUAUAUAUAUAUACAUAUAUAUAUAUAUAUAUAUAUAUAUAUAUAUAUAUAUAUAUAUAUAAACUAUUAUUGAAGGGAAAACAUAGGUUCAGUUUUGCAUUCUUAUACAAAAAUAUAACUGAAUUAUGCGUCGUCUUGAAAAAACAAACAUAACUUGGGCUGCUGAUGUUAUAGACAAGCUAGGUUGGGAGGCCGACACUACUAGGGAAAAGCCUAUACACAAAAAUUUACUAGUAGCGAGGGUUUUUAACCCUCGCUACUGCUACUUACCAGUAGCGCGGGUUUUUAAACCUCGCUACUACUAAGUUGAUAGCAAUAGCGCAGGUUUUUAACCCUCGCUACUACUAAGCAGUCUCUACCGUGCCCCCCGGGACAUGCCAUAGUAGUAGCGCGGGUUUUUAAAACCUCGCUACUACUAAGUUUGAUAGCAGUAGCGUUGGUUUUUAGCCCUCGCUGCUACUAAGUGGUGCCAUAGUAGUAGCGAGAGGGUAAAAAACCGUGCUACUACUAAAGGUCCCAUUUUCAAACUCUACCCCCCCAUCACCUUUUCAGUUUUAAAAAAGUAAAAGAGAAUGAUGAAAAUGUUAAAAAAAAAUAAAAGAAAAUAAGUUUCCCAUGUGAUAUGUGGUCUAGUUGUUGGGAAAAUUUGCAAAUAUGAAUUUCGACUUUAUUUGCAAAAUCUCUCGAGAAUUUGUAAAAAUGGGCAUAACUUUUGCUUACUAACUCGGAUGAAAAAGUUUUUUAUAUGAAAAAUCAUCUACGCGAAAAGUUACAACCAAAUAUGAGCAUCCAGGUUCCGCUAUUGGUUAUUGACCGGAAACGUGUUUUAGUCAUGUCUACAUUGUUCUCGAACCCGUAGGGUCCGCACGCUUAAAUUUAGAUGACAGUUAUAUUAUGAGUUUAUAUGUUUUGAUGUACCGAAGGUAGUUUGGAGUCCCGGAUGUGAUCACGGACAUAACGAGGAGUCUCGAAAUGGUCGAGACAUGAAGAUUGAUAUAUUGGACGACUAUAUUUGGACACCGGAAUAGUUUCAGGGGUUAUCGGAUAUAUACCGGAGUACCGGGGGAUUACCGGAACCCCCCGGGGGGUUAAUGGGCCACAUGGGCCCAAAGUGGAGAAGAGGAGGGACGGCUGGGGCAGGCCGCGUGCCCCCUCCCCCUCUAGUCCGAAUUGGACAAGGAGGGGGGGGGGCUUUCCUUCCUCCCCCCUCUCCCUUCCUUCCCCCUCUCCUACUUGGACAAGGAAAGGAGGGAGUCCUACUCCCGGUCCCCUUGGCGUGCCCCCUCCUGGCCCGCUGCCCCCUCCCCCUUGCUCCUUUGUAUACAGGGGCAGGGGGCACCUCUAGAUACAACAAUUGAUAUUUGAUCUCUUAGCCGUGUGCGGUGCCCCCCUCCACCAUAAUCCACCUCGAUAAUAUCGUAGCGGUGCUUAGGCGAAGCCCUGCGUCGGUAAAACAUCAUCAUCUUCACCACGCCGUCGUGCUAACGGAACUCUCCCUCGACACUCGGCUGGAUCGGAGUUCAAGGGACGUUAUCGAGCUGAACGUGUGCAAGAACUCGGAGGUGCCGUGCUUUCGGUGCUUGACCGGUCGAGCCGUGAAGACGUACGACUACAUCAACUGCAUUGUGCUAAUGCUUCCGCUUACGGUCUACGAGGGUACAUGGACACACUCUCCCCUCUCGUUACUAUACAUCACCAUGAUCUUGCGUGUGCGUAGGAAAAUUUUAAAAUUACUGCGUUACCCAACACAAUCAUGUUUUGUGGUUGGUGGCUGGUGCGUAUGGUUUCCUACGCCGACAUUAUCUUUGAGCGGGGCAGGGAUGUCAGAUCUAGAGUUUGAUGGCGUGUCUGGGGUGCUGCCCGACUAGAUUCUUUCAACUCUAAUGGCUUCGCCUUUGGUAAGCUACUUUGGAUGCUCGAAAAGCUACACAUAUGAUGGAGCCAUGUUAAGCUCGGGUGAAGAGGUGAUCUAUCACAUUUUCUUUUGGUGGCUAUUGCGAUGGUGCUGUAGGUAGGCGACGGGCAUUGGCGUCUAGCUCAAGGGAUUUUUUGUCUUGAUUGUGUGUUGCUUUCUGGGCUUGUGGUUCUUUCUGCAAGGGCUAGAGUUCUACUGCCUUUUGAGUUUUAUCAGGUGCGUUUACAUGUCUUGUAGCUUGAUCUUUGUUAUAUGAAUGAGACACGUGUUACCAUGCAUAUUGUUUUAUAGAAAAAAACAAGAAACAUAGUCCAAGAAUAUUAGUACUGGGCUCUAUUGCACCUUCUUGUUGUGCAACGACCUCAGUCCAACCCAACACAUUAGUCCGCCGUCGCACAACCUCGUUUUGAAGCGGCCGCCAGAGAAGGACACAUGUGAAGCACUGCCGCUCACCGCAUCGUAUUGAUCCAUCACACGCCUUCUCUACGAGGUAUGCUCUUGACACCUGGUUUCUUGAUUCCCAUUGAUUUUUUCCGUAAGAGUUUUUGCUUGCAUCGACGUUACAUUGUUCUAAUCGAUUGAUACGCUGUUUGGACAUCGUUAAUAGAUUGUUAGAGAUAGAGCUGCAUCUGUUCCCUUUGGUCGUGUAUAUACUUCCUCCGUUCCAUUUUAAUUGUCACUAUUAUAGUACCCCCUCCAUUCCGCAUUAUGUGUCGCUGAUUUAAUCAGCGACACUUAAUAUGGAACAGAAGGAAUAGUAAGAAGAAAAAGUAUAAUUCAGUAUCAUGUUCUGAAGAUACAUGAUGACAUGUUCUCCAUUGCCUUCAGGUAAUCAAUGAUAUCUUAGGGACAUGACAGGCUGCGGCAAUGUUAUAAAUAUAUACCUCAUUUGAUUUUCAAUGUCAUUUUCAGUAGCAUGUGAACCCAAUCCCUUGUUGUGUUAUUUUGUCACUAGUGUUUUUCAUGCGCACAUAUAUGUUACCCGUGCACUAGCCAUUUCCACUUGUUGGCGUUUUGUAUUUCUUCUCCAUCUAUUACCUUUUCAAUUGUCCAGUUCAUUUUUCUAUUUUUUCUUCUAAUUGAUUAGACAAGGUGUGGUCUCUUGUAAGGGUCGCUACCAUCUCAACUAUGCCCAGUUUUCAAGGUUGGCCAGACCUCCCGAACGACCUGAUUCACUCCAUUGUUCCUUGGUUGGGAUCCUUCCCUAACGUUCUUGUAUUCGCUGCCACCUGCUCCUCUUGGUGUGUGGCCUUCUCCUCCUAUCUGUCUAAACAGAUGCUCUUGCCAUCUCUCUUCCUCCUACCUGACUUCCUGGCGUGCUCUCCUCGUCCUUGCCAAUUUAGCAACAAACUCGUACCUGAACAUUCAUGCUAUGUCACUACUUUAGCCAACCAAGACACCUACAUGUGUUGUUAGAUUCCCUAGUUUCCUCGUUUUGGUGAGAGUAAAUCCCGACAAAGUCCUUUGGGGGUUCUUAUUUCAGGGGUGUUUCCUAUGCCAUCUCAUCCUGCCCAACGAAAAUCAAUCAUGUCUUCUUAUUGAUGUCUUAACGGGUGUUAGUGUCUCAACUCCACAACUACGGGUCGACGCAAACACUUUCCUCUACCAUGCUUCCCUCACGGCUCCUCUGGCAUCACCCAACACAUAUUUGUUGGUUACCACUGGACGCCACAAUUUCUUUCGGGUGUUGGUGGUAACUCUUGGUUGAGAUGUUCUCUUUGCAGUGGAACGAUCGAGAAGGUUGUGGUCUUCAAAGGACAUUAUUUGGCAUGAACAAUUACCACAUGCUAUUUAUCAUGAACUUGGUACCAUGGAUUUGAAUACAGAAAAUUGCAGUUGAGAUUUUGGUGGAAGCAUGCCCAACAAAUGGCAUCUUUCUCACCCGUGGCUUGUUGCGUGUGGCAAUAUGCUUCUCCUAGUCGAUGAUCAUCGAUCUUUUCCAUCAACAGAAGAUACGUUUGAAGCUUCUGCCUCAACCUAGCGAGUGAACCUGCAAAGUGGGUGAAGGUGGAAAAGCUAGAAAAUUGGGCAAUCCUCAUCAACACCGAUGAGAGAAGCCACCCAUUGUGUUGCAUGAACCCAGAGAGAUGGGAAAGGAUGAGCAACUGAAAAACUUCUAUUUGCAUGAUUCUAAUAAUUGGAUCUCUUUGAGUUGGAAAGCCGUUGCAGGGAGAUGCCUCUUUAUUUGCAUAUAAACCGUGGCAGUAUGAUUCGACCAACGUGGGUUGUGCCUCUAGUAUGUUCUAUUCGUGUCCAUGUUGAUUGAUAGUCUUGAUGCAUGGUUAUUACUGCUCGUGUAAGAUGUCUUGACUUUUGUGUAGGUCUAUCCAAAAAAGUUUGGAACCUUUGAUAUAUUUGGAGCAUUACGAUGUUAGUUAUAUUGGGAGUUCUAACCUCUUAGUUGAGGGCACUUGAGUGUCGCUCCUUUCCCGAGGGUGUUGUUGUUGAAGAACCUCAUCGUCCAUGUGGUGUCAUGAGAUUGUUGGUGUGGAGAUGGUCAUUGUUGUAGUUUGCCGAUCACAUAUGUGAUCGCUUUGGAGCUAUUUUUCUUUUUUCUCCGUGUACACAUAGUUUUGGUCUUAUAUAACUUUGCUAGUUGCCGGCGUGUUUUCAUGUGUGUGUAAGUUGGUGUUCGUUGUGUGCAUCCUAGCUAUGCAGAGGCCAGGUGUAUACUCAUUGUGCUAUGUAUCUUCUUGAUCCUCCAUUUUGAGCCAAUAAAAUACAUCCUUUGUUGAAAAAAAAGUUCAGUCUCCAUCAAAAUGUUGUUUAUCUUUAUUUUAAGCCAGGCCUCAGCUUGUUUCGAAAAAUUGCUCUUCUAGUAUCAUGCCAGGAGCAUUGAUGAUUUUGCAGUUAGUUCAUCCUUGAGCGUUUAGACCUUAUAAGAGAUGUGUUUAUGUUGGCAUUAGCGCACUCAAGCUUAUGUGCUUUGUGGCCUUUCAGUUAGACCUGUUGUUUACUACUCAUGGAUCCUUUUUCUUUUGCUAUAACUGGCAAGUUUGAAGAGCAGUUUUGCCUUAAGAGGUUCUUCAGGUGCAUGGUUCUAGUUGUGUGCUUGACCUAACAAGUACAAUAAGCUUCUGGCCUGCAGUGACUCUAAUCAUUAUUGUAACACAAAGGUAAUUAUACCCCUCUCUGACAGCAUUGAAUUCACCAGGCUGGUCCUAGGAUGCAUGCAUAUGCUGCUGCCUCUGUAGGAACUUUGACCAUAAGAACCAUCUUAUGUAUUUUAAGCUCCAUGACCGGCGUUGAACUUUUCUCAUGGUCAAAGUUUCAAAGUACACACUGCCUGAACGUAUGGUUUUUGUUCUCAUCCUGCUAUGAAGCAGAUCUCCUAUAGCUACAAGAAUCCAAAUCCAAGUUUAAUUUUUAAGCACCUUCCCUAUUUCUGCAUGUGCUUGUGCUUUCGUUUACAUGUUAUUCUCUUUCGUUGCAAAAAUACAGUUUUAACAACCAUAAUUUGCGGUAUUACGCAAAUUUGCCUCUUAAGAUACAUGCCACGUCCUGGUUAGUUGCAUGGCCGAUGUGUAAUAAACUAAUAACACUGAAAUGUAUGCUUUUGUGCUGAUUGGUUUCUGUGCUUGCUCUUGAGCUGAGGGAUAUUUGUUUGUUGCUGGAGUUUGAUUUCAAAAGCUACAGUAUUUUUUUCUCGGACAGAUGGGGACGCAACCUGCGGUCUCUCUUUUUUGAUAGUUCUUUUUGUGGGGGCUUUCUUUAUGGGACGGCAUGGAUGGUUCAACCUUUUCCUUCUGCAAUGUGUGAUCGGUCCUCAAAGAAAACGUGCUCUUAGUCUUUUGUCCAAUGAACCAGCAACCACUGAUGCUCCCUUCUUUUAUUUGCCCGCCUGUUGCUUCUGUGAAGUGUGGGGCGAAUAGAUGUAGAUGAAUGCGUAUCUUGCAUACUAUGAUGGUAGCUUAGUCUUACGGUCUAUGUUUCACUUACUACAAACUACGUGUGAUUAAAUUAAUGGAGAUAGCAUCAUACCGAUUGACUGCCCAACUUCUUAAAGAACUUGGUGUGCAAAAUUCUUACAUUCUGCACUGUUGACCUGAUCGUUUCACAGAGAUCAAACAUGUGAGAUGGUAUGGCGUUCUAGCUAUCAUCCCAAUUAUUGGCGACCUUACAACACUCUAGUCCAUAUAUAAUAUAUUGUGCAGUUUCAACAAUGUAGCUGUCCUCAAAUUAUAUUCUCAAAAUUAUAUUAGCCUCUUUUCCAAAUGAUCGGCACUUAGUCUAAUCCGGCAUAUUUUAAAAGACUUUUCUGAGUCAACCAUGGAAUACAACGAUGGGUGCCAAGACGGACAAAAAACACACUGGCCUUAUUAAGAAGCGGAGCUGCUUAAUUUCCUGGGUGAGUAGAGUUUAGUUGCUGUGGUAAGGACAAAGAAAUAUCAGCCAUCCAAUCAGUAGAUCUGAUGGUCCAACGUGAUCAAUACUUGUCCAGCGAAGGAGUAGUAUUUUUUCUCCGAAGGGCAAAAUGGGCAGAGGGAAAAAACGCCUCCCACACGAGAUUAAAAUAAAAAUAAAAUCCCGCACACAGAAAGGGUAUUUUGGGGAGAUGGAAAUUUGCCCACCCCGGUCCAUCCCCGAUCCAUCUAAUUUUCUCCUGCAGAUUCGCUAAAGAAAAAAUCUCUCCCGCACACACCACCAGUCGCUCGGCGGCGCACCCACCCACUGCAUCUCCACACCGGAUCCACUCACUCGGCUGCGCGCUAUUCCAGGCCGCCGCCGGCAGCCAACUGAGCUCCUCCUCGGCUGCGCGCUAUUCCAGGCCGCCGCCGGAAGCCGGUACGUCGACAAUGGAGACCGCCAAAUGGCGGCGUCUACGACCAGAUCGCCGGUAAAACCCGCGGCGCCGCCGGCCAGCGAGGCCGGGCGCCAAGAUGGAGGCUAUGGAGGGCGGACCCCGGCCCUUCUGUGGCGCUCGUUGGACUAGUACGGUUGGCGGCGGCAAGCGGUGGCGGGGGGAGCAAGGUGCGGCCGCGUGGUUGCCUCCUGCCGUAUCAGCAGAGGAGAAGCAUCUGGGAGAAAUUGCGGCGUCGGCUCUGGUGGAAGGCAGGUACGGCAAGCACCUGGCGUCGCUUCAAGAGUGGAUGAAAAAAGGUGUUCCCCCAUGUGCGUGCACUCCAGCUGUUGGCCGUCGACGAGGAUCAUCACCCACCGAAGACGUAUGUCUCUCUCCUCUCCUCUGUUCAUAGAAAGGGGAGCCACCGGCAUGAUGAGAAAUUGCAGUUGGAAGUGAAAUUUGAUAUUUUGAAUCUCAAGUUUCUGUCAACUCUAUAACAAGAUACGUACUUGAAAUUGUUGAAUUAAAUUCUGUUAACUCUCUUCUAAUCAAAAGAAAAAAAAGAUUUGAAAUAGGGAAAUACUAAGUGGAAAUUGGGGAAUUGCAAACAAGUCUUUGUUACAGACAGAAAAGGUGGCUUAGGGAUGUGGCAGUGAACAUUUGGAAAACUAUUGCUAGAUCACCACUUCUCAGUUUUUCUAUAACAGAACCAAUCCUUCCGUUAAUAAAUUUUUUCCAUACUUCUUGUAUGAAAUAAUAAUUCAUACAAUUGAAUAACUGAUUGCUUAGCAAAAGGCUGUUGCAAUGGUAUUAGUUUAUCUUAACAGUCCUUCUGCUGUUCAGCUCUGUUCCUUGCAUGAAUUUGGAAAUGCAGAUUAUAAAAGGAAUAACUUUGCUGCAGCUGGUCGUUGUAAAAGUUUCUCUAUAGUAAGCUUUCUUACUUUUUUUUUGCGGGGUAGUAAGCUUUCUUACUUGGAUGUAGCAAGCCGAUGAUCUGUGUUCGGCCAUACCUGCAAUAUUGCUCUCGCCAUUGCAUGGUCCCCAUCAGUGAUCACGGACCUGGGAUGGUUCUGGUGCAUCGCCUCCAAAAAUGAAUGGAGCAACCACUUAUAUGAUGCCACGGUCUCGUCUGAUACAAUGCCGACCCCAAAGACAACUGUGCUGCGAUGGUGGUUCAAUCCAAUGAAUGGGACAAAUGGCAAGUUAUAUUUGUUUACACGGUACGUGCUGUCAAACACAACAACACCACCAAAGGCAUCAUAGUCCAACCGCCACUGCGCGUCUGACCAAAAUAGGUUCUGCAGAUGGCCUUCGCUGUCUGUGCUGUACCUGUAAAAGAAUUCAGAAUCUCUCUCUUCCUGCGCAGCCAUAUAGUUCAGCAUGUAUUGGGCAUCAAAACCUUCAAUCCUUUGCUUCUUGUACUCAGCAAUAAAAUUAUAUAGGUCCCGAGACACACAGCCGACUUUGUCAUACCCACCAUGCUGCUUCUCCAUUACGUCCAUUAUUUGAUGUGUGCGUAGACCACCAAUACCAUACUCAAUGGCAUCAGCCUUUUGAGGAUCAUUAAGUCCACGAUGAGACCAUAAGAAAGGUGUCUGGUCAGGCUUAGUGAAUUCAUGGUUAUGCUGGUCCACAAAGUCCUUGACAAACCAUUCACGGCUUUCCAUAUUGAGCUCGAUUUGCAGUCGAGCGUCACAUCCACAACGAGAGAGUGCCCUUGGUUUCCUUUUCCGGUUGGACCUUUCAAAGUUUUUCAAGGACCUAUAUCCUUCUUUGCUGCACAUGUACAACCUUUGGAUUCUUAUGCCUCCCUUGUUUUUCACAUUGGCCUUCCUCACGCUGAACCCUUUGGCUUUAGCAUAUCUAUUAUAGAACUCGAAACCUUGUUCCUCGCUUGUGAAUGUUUGACUAACCACCGUGUAAUAUUCUUCAAUUUCCUCUAUGCUGACGUGGUGAGCAUCCAUGUUGUGUAACUGCCAUCCACAAAGAAACUGAAUAAUGUUAUUUAGGCAUCUCCAGUGCCAAACUACAUCAUAAAAAAUGUAAAUCAAAGUACUUCUGCUACAUACACCGGCAAGCAAUUCCUGCUCUAGAGAAUCAUUGAUAGCAACUUACAGCUUCUCAAAGAAGAAAAAUCAUCCUAUGAGUUGGUUGUAGUACUGUAUAUCCUUCUGAGGAACAAGAUUAUUAUUAGGAAAGGAAUAUAAUCUCUACUGUACAUUCCUCUGAGGAAAGAGCUGAUUAUUAGGAAAAAUAUCAGUUUAGUGCAAAGCCUCAGAUAGUAAUCUUUAUGUGCAGCUAAGUUUUCUAGUAGUUUGAAAAGUUGUGGUGCUUCUUUGACAUGGUUUCCUGAAUGACGGAUUUGUACAACAUUCUGCUAUCAAUGUGCUUUCGUGAUCCUGGAGAUUUCAUGUUUCAUAGGACAAUUGACAUGGAAAUAUACAUCCUGCUAUGAUCUGGGACUAAUAUAUGUCAGGCCGUUUCAUUACUUGUCAAGUAGUUUGCAGGAUUCGCAUGAGAACAAACAACGAGGACAAAUAAAGUUACUAAGUAAUGAAACGGCCUGACAUAGAGAGUUGUUCAUGUUCAAGCAUUACCUUUCUGCAGGCCGACCAGCAGUGGUAGAGACGGAUGAACAGGCGGAGCUAACGGUGACAGCUGAUUAGCCGGCGGUAGUGCAGCGGCAAGUGGCGGCCACAGCUCCUGUUAGAGGCAGACGGAACAGACGGGCAGGAAGGUUCCGGACGUGGAAGGCACGGCAGCCGGCGGCGAGAGCCACGGGUCGGCUGCGGCGGACGAAACGGACGGGCAGGAAGGAUCGGAGGCGGACGGCGCGGAAGCGACAAAUGGCGGCGAGAGCGACGAGUGGGCUGCGGUGGCCGGAACAGACGGGCAGGAAGGAUCCCGAGGCGGACGGCGCGGCAGCGGCAGGCUGCGGUGGCCGGAACAGACGGGCAGGAAGGAUCCCGAGGCGGACGGCGCGGCAGCGGCAGGCAGCGGCGAGAGAGCGGCAAUUAGGGCUUGGGUGACGUGAAUGCAGGUGUAGGGGCCGAUUCAGUCGGGACUUUCAGUUGAUUAGUAAACUUUUUAUCGGACUAAACUGCCCUUGGGCUAAGAGAAAAAAAAUCUAAUAUAAAGUGCCUAGAUUACCCUUGAAAUCAACGGUGGAUCUGUUCAAAUACUAGUCUCUCCCGUGACUAGUAAUUUGCACCGUAAAACCCCUCUUAAAUUAAAUCUUGUGUUGCAUGGAUAUGUAAUCACCGUUCGUGUUGACACUAUGUCCCUUCUAGUUGAUCGCCAUUGGAACAUUUCACUUGCACAUAUUUCCUGUGCUGCCAAGCACCCCAGACAGGCCUUCGUAUCCGAGCGGGGUUGCCACAAAUUUACCGUCCAGAUUUGUAACCGGCCGACGAAGUAGCGUUAGUGCUUACUCAAGCUAGCUUCAACGCUUCAUUACAUAUUUCACUCAAGUUUUUGUAGUAACAGUUGCUUGAGAAGCAUGAUUUGAUUACACGUGACAUCAAAAUGACCGAAUACAUGCAGUAGGAAAAAAAAGCUCUUAUAAUGUACCCCUAAAUGAAUAUGUACCAUUUCGAUGUUACCUUCAAGUCUUGAUGCUAGGCCCGGCCAACCCAAUGAACACUAAAUAUGGUUUGGACAAGGGGGCGGGCUUGGCGGCCUGAGUAUGGAUGGGCCUGGCAGUAGAUAGCAACCAUGGAAGAUUACAGACUCAUAGCACAUGACCCAUGCAAACAUCCUGUAGAAGAAAGAACAAACUCAAUUCAGUAAAGUUCAGUUCCAUCACAUCAGAGUAGCUCCAUGGAAAUAUCUUUACAUGUAAAGGGCAUCCUAUGAGUUUUGUCGUGCUCUACUAAUGCAUGUUUAUCUUACCAACUCAAAUAAAAUUACAAAAUCAGUUCUAGGAACAAUUAAUCGAGUGUGGAACACCUCUUCACAGCUAAUGGUUUGUUGGUGUGCUCAACCUAAACAGCUAAUGCAAGAUUACAAACCAUUAACUCAAAAAAAAACACCAUGGAUCAUGUGAAUGCAAAAGCUAAUUUACACAUAACACAUGUAUAAGAUUACAAAUUGGGUUUCACAAAAAGAUAUGCCACCCGAACUCUUGACAUGUAAAGUGAUGAUUGAUGAGUCAUAUGCAUUAUCAAUCUCACCUGGCAGUCAAGUGAUAUGUGCCGAAAAGUAUAUUUGAUGGCCAUUGAAGAUUAGACUUUAGCGCCACCUAACACAACAAUACGAGAUUAUCAGUUUGGAAAGCAUCCAAAUGCAUUCGUAAAAUAAUGUAGGAAUGGAAUGCAGCAAACAGACCAUGAGAGCUAUAAAUAGGCAUGUACCAUGAAGAUCCUCCUUCAUCAACCUUCAGACAACCACAAACAGCAAAGCAAACUUGAGGCUAGCCACCAUGAAGGUCUUCAUCCUGGCUCUCCUCGCCCUCACAGCAACCACCGCCAUUGCCCAGUUGGAAACCACAUGUAGCCAGGGCUUCGGACAAUACCAACAACAGCAACAACCUGGGCAACGACAGUUGCUGGAGCAGAUGAAGCCGUGUGUGGCAUUCCUGCAACAACAGUGUAGGCCACUGAGAAUGCCAUUCCUCCAGACACAGGUGGAGCAGCUUAGCAGCUGCCAGAUCGUGCAACACCAAUGCUGCCAGCAGCUAGCGCAGAUCCCAGAGCGAAUCCGGUGCCAUGCCAUCCACAGCGUGGUAGAGGCUAUCAUGCAACAACAAUCCCAACAACAAUGGCAGGAGCGCCAACAGCAAGCACAACAUAAGAGCAUGAGGAUGUUGCUUGAGAACCUAUCAUUGAUGUGCAACAUCUAUGUCCCGGUACAAUGCCAGCAGCAACAACAAAUGGGGCAACAACAACAACAACAACAGUUGCAGGAGCAGUUGACACCGUGUGCGACAUUCCUCCAACAUCAGUGUAGCCCAGUGACAGUGCCAUUCCCCCAGAUACCGGUGGAUCAGCCUACCAGCUGCCAGAAUGUGCAGCACCAAUGUUGCCGACAGCUAUCACAGAUCCCGGAGCAAUUUCGUUGCCAAGCCAUCCAUAACGUGGCUGAGGCUAUCAGGCAACAACAACCCCAACAACAAUGGCAGGGUAUGUACCAGCCGCAGCAGCCAGCACAACAUGAGAGCAUUCGGAUGUCGCUUCAGGCCCUGCGGUCGAUGUGCAACAUCUACAUACCGGUACAAUGCCCCGCCCCCACCGCCUACAACAUUCCCAUGGUGGCUACCUGCACUAGUGGUGCAUGCUAGAUGAUCAAUGUAGCGGCCGAAAAAUAAAAAUGCCAUGCAUCAUCAUGUGUGGCAAAUACUAGUUGCAAUAUGGAAAUGAUGAAUAAACGUUCCUGAAUAAAGCAUUUGCCUGAAUAAAACUACAUAUUUCCAUGAUAGAUGAAAUUUCUGGAUCUUCUGGUUGAACUUAACCAUCACCGUGUUCUGUAUGUCUCCCAUUAAACCAGCAGUUCAU